rnacentral:lncRNA from 1 species
GACAGAGAUUUCAGAUUCUGGAAAUCUUGAAUGUAAAGAGAGGUGAGGGUUGUAGGAAGAAUCGGUGGUCUUUGACCAUCUGAAAAGGAGGCAACUCUCGGAAAUAUGCCACCAAUAGUGAGUUUUUUAAGAGAGGUAAGUGUGGCAAGGCCCCAUCGGGAUAGGGGCGUCUUGAUAUUCUCACAAUCAGAGAUAGUAAGUGAUGUAAGAGCAGUGAGGUUUUGCAGUUGAUAAGGUAGCAGCUCCACAUUCUCACAAUUACUAAUCUCCAGUUCUCUGAGUAUGUUGAGGCAAUUUGGUACAAUUUUGAGACAGCGAUACGACCAGAUACUCAAAUAUUCAAGUGAACUAUUAUUGGAGUGAAACAUCCCCUCCGAAAUCGGCUCUAGUUGUGCACAAUCCCAAAUCUGAAGUUUCUUAAGGGUGGAGGGAAACUUGCCUGUGGGAAAGAAUGUGAGAGAUGGACAUUUCCCAAUGUACAAGGCAUGAAGACCAUAGCUGGUGGUGUUGGAAUCAUGGUGCAUUAUUCCCCCCGGUAGAGACUCCAGGUUUUCACACCUCCAUAUCCUGAGUUCCUUGAGCGUGGCGGGUAACUCACCUUCUGGAAAACCAAUGAGAGAUGGACACCCAUCUAUCUCCAAGUACUCAAGGAGACACACGUCGCUACCGUUAUUACUACCAUCUUUCAUCACCAUCAUCCAAUCAGGUAGACAUGGUAGACCUUUACAACUAUAAAUAACAAGACGUCUGAGCAUGGGCGGGAACCCCAACUCUGGAAAUAACACCAGCUUUGGACAAUUACUGAUUUUCAACUCUCCAAGACAUGUUAGCCUGUGCAGUCCAUUUGGAAGCUUCUCUAGGUUAUUACACCGCCUAAUUUUCAAAGAUUGAAGCUUGCUAGGCAGCUCGUGCUUUUCCUUCUUUCCCAAGGAUACAAGCUCGAGACAAUUGCUAGUUUGCAACUGCUGAAGACCAGCAAAUCCAUUUUCCCACAAACACAUCAAUUCAUCACAUUCAUCAAUGUCUAAAACUUGAAGCCCCGACAACAAUUGCAUACACCAUUCAUGUAAUCUGGUAAGCCCUACCAUUCUUAGAAUUCCUAACUCGGUGAGUGAAGGCAAUUCCAAUCCACUCCUUAGUACCGCCUCAUUGCAAUCUUCUACUCUUAAUUUAGAAAGAGAUGGAAGCCUUUCAACUGGAGACACCAACAGUGGGCAUCUCCAAAUGGAGAGGUGUACAAGGGAAGGUAGGUAAGUGGGUAAUUUCUUGAUUAAUUUGGGACAAUUUACGAUUUCAAGAUAAAGGAGACAAGGAUAUGGCUCUGAUAAAGAUGGACUCUCCCAAUCUUCCCAUUGUGACAUAUCCGAAAAAGAUAGAGACUCUAAGGACGGGAAAGGCUUAUUGGGAAGACAAGUCUCUCCAUAAAACUCUCUACCCACAAUUUUUACUUCUUUUAACCCUUCAAUCCUUACGUGUUUGAGCAUGGGUAACCACCCCAAACACGGUAAAGAUGUGCAAUUUCUGCAAUUCACCAGAUUUACAUCCACCAUCUUAGAGAAUGAAACAUCUCCUAUCCAACGGGGAAAUUCUGGACCACCAUAAUACUCAAUUUUUAGUUUGUUCAAAUUGAAGUGUGGCUGUAAAGAGUCAAGUACAUCUAUUUGAUUCCUUGCAUUGUGUGAAUCAUCCAACCCAGCACUCCACUCUAUCGUCAAUUCUUCAAGCUUCUGCUUCUUGUUUAGACUAGCAUCCCUUGCAUCUUGAACAUUUGCUACAUUUUCCAAGUUUGAAAUGCAAAGUCCCCCUUGAAGAUGGGGCAUAUUCCUUAACUCCUUUACAUUCAAACCAUUGUCUUUACCCACAAUAAAUUUAGACAAUACUUGCAAGCUUUUUAAUUUGCAAAUUCGUAGAGACAUUUCUUCUAGAUUUGUAUUGGUCACAUCAAGGUGUCGAAGAUUAUUUAGGUUCUCAAUGCUCAAAGGCAACCUAAUAAGCCUCCAACAAUUUGAUAAUACUAGUGUCUCUAAGUUAUGGAGGUUACCUAGUGAAUCAGGUAAUCGUUUGACUCCUGUUUCGGAUAAAUUAAGAUACCUAAGAUGUUUCAAAUCACCAACUGAACUUGGUAUCUCACUUAUCCAAUAACCACUCAAUGAAAGCACCCUUAGGCGCUGUAGCUUGGGCAUCAAUCCCUCAAGUACCUUGUUGCUUAACCAAUUACAACGCCAUGAUGCAUCAAUUGGUAAUGCGAUAAAUGUACGCAAAUACUCCAUCCCAUAAAAGGCUUCAAACUUUUUGAAGACAUCGUAUCUGCCACGAAUGAAUGAUGAAUGACGAGCCUUUUUAGAAAUAGUUUGCUGCUGAUUACCUUCCAAAUUCUCUUCCAAAGAAAAACAUAUUUCUCCACCAACAAAUUUUGCUAAAUCGUUAACGAGAUCAUGCAUUACAAAUUGGGAUUUAUUGCUACUUGAUGGUUGAAAAAAUGAUCGAGACAGCAAUUCCUGGAAGUAGUCAUCGCCUAAAUCUUCAAUUUCGAUUUGUCGUCCAUAACGUUCUGGGCAUUGAAUUAGACUCUCUGCCAUCCAUAAGCGAAUCAGUUCUCUCUUAUCAAAUUCAUAGUCUUUCGGAAAUAUUGCACAAUAACUGAAACAUCUCUUCAGAGGAGAAGGGAGGUGAUUAUAACUUAAUCUCAAUGCAGGAAGAAUACCGCAUUUAUCACUCGGUAAAUCCCAUAUUUUGCUAGUCAAAAUAACAUUCCACUUAUCUUCUCUCUGUUCAUGGCGUAGAAGACCACCGAGUGCUGUUGCUGCCAAAGGCAAGCCUCCGCACUUUUUCACAAUUUCCUUGCCGAUCAAUGCCAAAUUGGAAUGCUCAUCAAUGCUGCUAUUUCCAAAUGCAUGCUUCUUGAACACCGACCAACACUCAUCAUCUGAUAAAUUUUGUAGCUCGUGCAAGUUCUUAUCUCCUUCCAUUAUUUUUGCGACGUUCUUAUUCCGUGUCGUGACUAUGAUUUUGCUGCCUCGUGAACCCGACAAAAAGGGAGACUGUAAGCAACGCCAAUCAUCAUAGUUGUCAUUCCACAUAUCAUCGAGAACCAGAAGAAAUUUUUUCCCGUUCAAUUCCUCCCCCAAUUUAUCUUGAAUUUGAUGGAAGUCUAGUGAAUCAGUAUUGCUCUGAGAAGUACUGACCGAGUUGAGGACUGUCUUGGUUGUUCUCACUGCAUCAAACUGAUCUGAUACACAAACCCAGGCCGUUAGAUCAAAAUGCUUGGCUGUCUCAGCAUCAUCGUACACCAACCUUGCUAGUGUGGUCUUGCCCAUACCACCCAUGGCCACGAUGGAAACUACAGAAAAAUUGGUUUCAAUGGGCUCAUCCCUAAGCAGCAUAUCAAUUAUAAUCUGUUUAUCAGCAUCCCUGCCAUAAACCCAAGGUUCGUAUACACGAGAUGUAGUGAGUGGCCUUUCCCAAGUAGACUGGGUUAUAGCAGCCACCUUGUCCAAACCAAGCCCAGCCUUUUGGGCAUAAAUAGCUUCUAAUCGGGUAGUAAUGUCCUUUAUCUUGCACCCCAUCUUAACAUUACGCAUACAACCAAUAGGAGUGAAAGUAGUACAACAAGUAGGGAUAAACUUGCGUACCUUGCUUGUGCUGCCUUCACCAUCAGCUUCCGCCAUCACCUUUCUUCUUAAAGCUUCGUAGGCAAACUCGUCCAAGAUGUCCUCCAUGUCAUAAGCCAAAUCCCUCAGAUCGCCCAGCCACGUUUUCACCAACUUCUUCGUGAUCUGCUUCUCCUCCGCGUCAUUCAGCACUUCAUGAAUCUCCAAUAAUUUUUCCUCCCAUAUUUUGAGCUCGGCGUUGAUUUUCUCUUGGCGUGCAAACUUGAGGAGAUCAAGGGAGCCCAGUUGGCUAAACAAAGCUUCAAGGGAGACAGAAAGAACAGCCUCUGCAACAACUUCCAUAGUUCGUUGGUAGGGAAAGAGAGAGGUAGGAUACCAAGUGGAAACAAGAGAAUCAGAAACAAUUGGUUUGCUCUAUCAAGGCUUCCCCAAUUAUCAAAGACAGUGGACUCUGCUCUUCAGAGUGGUGGGGCUCACACGUAAAGAAGAAGAAACUAAGGGAAAAGAAGAAAAUAAGUUUGAUUAGAGAGUAAUGUUUAGAUCAAAUUUUGUGAAACAAUUGGUUUGCUUGCUGUAUCAAGGCUUAGCCAAUUAUCAAAGACUGAAGGUAAGAGAUAAGGAGUUGAAGGCAACAGCUGGCAAGCUGGCAAGUGGGUCCAUUGGACAUGAUUAUUCAAGUCUUGGACCACCCUGCAAUUUUCCACACCGCACUGGAUGGUGGGUCAGAGAGUUAAGGAAAACGUCAGAAAACCAAACAUGAAGUGAUCGAAAGCGGGGCUCCUGUAUGAAAAUAUUACUAUGCAACAAUGAAAUUAUCAAAGAAUCAUGCAUUGAAAAAUUCAAAGAUUGAAAUUAUCAAAGAUCAUAUUAAAGAUUUGAUGUGAUGUUUUUCAUAUGUAUUCAUAUAUUUUGGGGAGAAUUGUGUUUUGGGCCCAGCUGGGCCCAAAAAUUAAGAAAUGGUCCAUCUAACUGACCUAAUUAAUGAUAAGGAUAUGAAAUGUUAACAGACGAAAAUGCCCUUUACAUUUCCAACUCAAAUUGUUGUAAAAUAAUGGGUUUCACAGCUGGUAAACGUGAAAUGCCAUGUCACCAGAGUGAAAAUUCUGAAUCUUCCUACCAUUUUCUCUCCCUCUGUAAACAACAUACGCACAAACGAUGCCGACCUUAACUGUCCCCCAAUCGCUUUCUUCAGCAGCCAAGGAUUGUGAGGAUUUCAGAAAAGCUUUUGUAGGUAUUUUAUCAACGAUCAUUCCUAAAUCCAAAUGAUGGGGGUCUGAAUUAUUUGCUGAUAUUUUGAUUUUAUCAGGUUGAGGCGUUUGUAGGUAUUUUAUCAACGAUCAUUCCCAAAUCCAAAUGAUGGGGGUCUGAAUUAUUUGCUGAUAUUUUGAUUUUAUCAGGUUGAGGCGUUUGUAGGUAUUUUAUCAUCAUCGUCCAGAGAGAAUAAAUGGGAGCGUUUGAGAUGGAGAAGGUGAAAGGUGGGAGUCCCUACGGUGCAGGAACUUACGCUGGGGACGGCUCAAGACAACCAUCUGAGCUCGAAUUGGAGCAAGGUUUCCACCAGGGGAAGUACAUUGCUGGCAUCACAAAGAAGCUCAAGGAAGCAGCUUAAUAUCCAUUCCCUAUUCUGAGAUUGUUUUGCAUUCUUCCAUUUUUUCACUUCUAGAAUUUAAGUUCCGUAUUUCUAUUGGAUUGCCAAAAAGCAAAAAAAAAAAAAAAAGAAUAAUUGUUGCUGUGUUUGGCAUAUGCUCUAUGUGUUGAAUGUAUUCAGAACAUUGGUUUGCUGAUCCAACUUGAAAAAUUGUCCUCUUUCUCCCCCUUUCACACUAAACCCAGAAUUUUAUAUUGGUAAAAAUUAAUCCUUGUCAUUUUCUAUUGGUUUCUGGGUAUAGAUUAGGUAGGUGAGAGGUCCUUUCUUUCAGCAGUGAAGGUUGGAAAUUUACUGGGAUUGAGAAUGUUAGCGGGGGGGGGGGGUUUAAUCAUACACACCACCUGGAUUCUACCAAUAAAGUCCUUCGGAAUGUAAUCUAAAUUUUGGCCUAAUCUUUGAUGUUACAGAAGGAAAGAAGGGGUGGAGAUGAUACACUCCACAGAUUGGACAGCUAACAAGUACCUACUACUAUUGACUAUGUAUUAAUUUCCUAUUAACAAGUAAAACAAAUGGCAUUGAUUUUGUUUUACUAGUUUCUGCUUGAAUUCCUAAAUUUUCUUUUUGAAUAUUUUUCUUGUCUUAGGCCACUCGACCCAACUUUUCCUUUCUCGUUUUUUUGAUUAGUAUCUGAAACAAUUCUUAUUUCGUUGAGCAAUGUAUAUUCUUGCAAAAAAAUGAAUUAAAAAAUUAAUUUGUGCCCAAUUAGUUUGGUGUAAAUGUCAUCCACAUUUAUCUCAUGUAAUUUUAAUUGGAAAUAUUUAGUGUUUAUGGGAAUAAACAGGAAGCUUGAAAUUGCUAAUCAUUGGCAUUAAAUUGAAGCAGGUUUAGAAAUGAAAAUUCUGGAUUAGGAGAGAAUGGAUGAGAAGGAGAAUUGCGGACAUGAGAAAAUAAUGUCUCCCUGUUUGGCUCUGAAGAAUUGGUUGGACGAGAAAAUGGUGAGUACUCUAAAAGUGAGCCACAGUUAGAAGCAUUUUGGUCUUCUUCAGAGUUUCCUCGUAAAUUGUAGACAAUUGUUAGGCCUGGUGCCACAUGUGAUGUUUAAAAAGCUGUUCACUAGUUGAAUGGAACCCAUCUUUAGGCAUGCUUUUUACUGAAUAAAAUAUAUGUUUGAAUAAUAAUUUGCCAUGCUUAACAUAUAAUCUUCUUUUGAAUUCUAGCUAGAAAGUUGGAAUUAACUUCGAAUAACUUCACAUUAAUGGACAAAUUGCUAUUAUUUAAUUUCCUUGUAUUGUUACAAAAGUAUAGGGAACAAAUUGAGACUUCAGUUUUUCCUUAUUUUAUUAACCAAAAGAUUGCAAUCAUGAUUAACCUAUGCAUGAGUAUACAUUCAGUAGUGGUUGUAUGGAAUUUAUGUCUGUGUACAAGACAUUUACACUAAGUGUACAAGGUACCUGUGCUUAAUGUACAAGGGUGUACAAAUGUACCUAUGUUGAAGUAUUUGCAAUGUUUUAAAAUCAUUUCCAUUUUGAAAGGAUGAGGAACAUUCCCUCACACACAUUCCUUGAUCACGCACUGAUCCCCUUCAAUUUUAUUACUUCAUACAUGUUGAUUGGAUGACCAACGACAAUAAUGAUGAAUAAGAACCUAUAUUGGGUUUCACUUCCCCCUUUUCCCUUCCCCAUUUUCCCUUAGGCAUCACAUUGGAACAUGGUAGCUCACCCAUAUGCACGCUAUUAGUUUUAGGUAUGUCAAAUUUUUGGCAUUGUAUAAGACAUUUACACUAAGUGUACAAUGCAAAUGUGGUAACUGUACAAGUGUGUACAAUGCUACAUAUGUUGAAGGAUUUCAAAUGGUUUUGAAUAAAUUGCUUGCUCAUUUUAUUUUUCUAAGGGUGACAUUCCUCAUAGACAUUCCUCAUAGACAUUCCUCAUUUACAUUUCUACACAUUCAUUGGAUGAGAUAGCGCGCUUAUAAUGAAUAAGAACCUCGAUUUGGUGUCAUUUUUCCCCUUUUCAGUGAGCCAUGACAUUGGAACGUGGUUAACCUGGCCAUAUGCACUAGUUCUGUUGUAUCUAUGUGGAAUUUCUGCAAGUGUACAAGGCAUUUAAACUAAGUGUACAAGGCCAAUGUACUAAAAGUACAAGGGUGUACAAGGGUGUGUAUCUUACUUUUUCCAAACGUGGGGAACAAUCCUGACACAUGUUGCUUGAUAACACACGCAUUGCAUGCAAUUUAAUUGAUGUCUACCAUGUUCAUUCAUCCUAUUAGCUUCCCUAGUAAUGAUGAAUAUGAACCGAAAUUAGGGUAACCUUUUGUGUCAUUUUCCCUAGUCCAUGGUAAUGGAAACAUUGGUUACCCACCCAUAUUCACUUGAAAAUAUGUACCUAUUAGGGAUUUGGUGACUGGACAAGGCAUUUACACUAAGUGUACAAAGCAAAUGUGCUAACUGUACAAGUGUGUACAAGGGUGCCUAUCUUCAAGGAUUUUAAAUGCUUUUGAAAAAAUUGCUUGCUCAUUUAUUUUUUCCAAGGGGGACAUUCCUCAUUUCCCUUCGUACACAUUCAUUGGAUGAGAUAGCGCGCUUAUGAUGAAUAGGAACCUCGAUUUGGUGUCAUUUUUCCCCUUUUCAGUGAGCCAUGACAUUGAAACGUGGUUAACCUGGCCAUAUGCACUAGUUCUGUUGUAUCUAUGUGGAAUUUCUGCAAGUGUACAAGGCAUUUAAACUAAGUGUACAAGGCCAAUGUACUAAAAGUACAAGGGUGUACAAGGGUGUGUAUCUUACUUUUUCCAAACGUGGGGAACAAUCCUGACACAUGUUGCUUGAUAACACACGCAUUGCAUGCAAUUUAAUUGAUGUCUACCAUGUUCAUUCAUCCUAUUAGUUUCCCUAGUAAUGAUGAAUAUGAACCGAAAUUAGGGUAACCUUUUGUGUCAUUUUCCCUAGUCCAUGGUAAUGGAAAUAUUGGUUACCCACCCAUAUUCACUUGAAAAUAUGUACCUAUUAGGGAUUUGGUGACUGGACAAGGCAUUUACACUAAGUGUACAAGGCCAAUGUACUAAAAGUACAAGGGUGUCUAUCUUACUUUUUCCAAACGUGGGGAACAAUCCUCACACAUGUUGCUUGAUAACACACGCAUUGCAUGCAAUUUAAUUGAUGUCUACCAUGUUCAUUCAUCCUAUUAGCUUCCCUAGUAAUGAUGAAUAUGUACCGAAAUUAGGGUAACCUUUUGUGUCAUUUUCCCUAGUCCAUGGUAAUGGAAACAUUGGUUACCCACCCAUAUUCACUUGGAAAUAUGUACCUAUUAGGGAUUUGGUGACUGGACAAGGCAUUUACAAUAAGUGUACAAGGCCAAUGUACUAAAAGUACAAGGGUGUACAAGGGUGUCUAUCUUACUUUUUCCAAACGUGGGGAACAAUCCUCACACAUGUUGCUUGAUAACACACGCAUUGCAUGCAAUUUAAUUGAUGUCUACCAUGUUCAUUCAUCCUAUUAGCUUCCCUAGUAAUGAUGAAUAUGUACCGAAAUUAGGGUAACCUUUUGUGUCAUUUUCCCUAGUCCAUGGUAAUGGAAACAUUGGUUACCCACCUCCCUCAUCCUAGAGGACAUGGUUUUUGCCUAUCCCCACAGCUGUAUAGCGAAGACCAUUAGAUCCCUAAAGCAUAAUUGUAUAUGGUGUUAGUGAACCACAUUUUCUAUAUUACCAAAUUGAACACAAAUAUUACCCGACAACUUACAAAGCUGAUAUAAUAGUAUUUAAUAAAUAAACGUUGAAUUGUUAAAACUUCAAUAUUAGAGAACUUUCCAACAUAACUGAUACAUGGUAACUAUAAUAAGGGACAUGAAGAAAUCACUUAAAUUUCAUGCAUAAUAUAUAUAUAUACUAACUUAAAAGGUAUCUGAAAAUGAAAAUUUCAUAAAAGGAUUUCAGAUUAUAUAUAAACAAGGGAGUAAUUUGUUCACACCAAUUCAAAUAUGUAAAAUAUCAUAAAAUGAAAUUUCACCCAUUUUGAGACCAACAUGCAUUCUGAUUUAUGUUCUGACAAUACAUUAAAAUUGCAUGACUAUAGAUUAUAAGUUCUUGUGGCACUGUACUACAGAAGCGAAAGCCUCUCAAAUAGUAUGUUGGCAACGGAAGAAUGCAAAAAACAACAAAGAUAAGCAAGUAUGAUGAACCAUACCGAGAGUGGGAGUGAACUGGCAGCAGAACCAUCUAAGCCAUUACCAGCCAUUGUUAAUAUUAUAACUGCAUCAUUGGGCAUAGAAAAGUAGAAUGUAAUGCACAGAUAAACUAACCAACUGAAUAACUAGACAGCAAGUAUAGUACAAUACUAUGAAAGUUCAGCUAAGUGAUAAGAAAAAUGCACGCAUCCAAUGAUGUGAGUAGGACAUACUUAAAAUAGGGAAGUGAAAGUAUACAUCAAGUUAAAGGAUACCACAUUGAAAGUGCAAUUUCAAAUUAAAUCAGUAAUGAAAGCAACUCCAAAUCAUGAAAAUUAAAAAGUAGUCUUAUAAAAAAUAAAAUCAAAAGGUAGUGCAUCGUGUCUAUAAUAAGGACAAUACAUAACAUCCAAAAGCGACAACCCUAUGACCAUAAAGCAAAUAAUGGAACAAUGAGGGAUCGUACACAAAAUGAAAACCUUACAAGCAAAGAAAUGAACAUGUCACGUCAAUGGAUUAUUACAUUUAGACCGAUUGUGACCUAUGCCAUUGCAUCGAGAGCAAUGAAUAGCUCUCUUAUGGCUAAAUUGUGACUCAAUACGCCUUUGUCGGGGUCUUCCUGGAGGACGUCUCACUUGCGGGGGUUGGAGACUAGGAAAUACGUUGCCUUGCCCAUCUUGCAAAGUCCCAGCCUCACAAACUUUAGGCAUGUUGUGUGUUGGUAAUGGUUGAAACUGACCUGAGUAAAUCAACUGUUGGGUGGAGACUUUAAAACAUGGGUCGAUAUAGUCAUACACAUCGUGUCUCAAUGUACGGAUCACAACACAUACAUGUGGACAUGGCAACUCGGACAUUUGCCAUGUUAGACAUGUACACUUAUGUUGCUGCAUAUCCACAACCAAAUAAACUUCUCCAGUAAAAACCUUGAACGUCCCACCCAAAUAAGGCAUCACAGUAAUUGGAGCAGAUCUCGUGAUAUUUGACAUUAGGUUUUCCUCUGUUUUGGGUCCAACCACGCUCUUCCACUUAUCUGUACCACGCAUAUGGGUGUCCAACAUGGCUACAAGCUUAUCCAUGUGCAUCAUCAGCAACGUAUAAAUUGUUUGGUGGCGUUCCUCUCUUAACCACGCAUUGAAGGACUCUGCAAUAUUAGUUGUCAUUUUAUCCCAACGUUUUUUAAGGAACUUUGACAUCGCCCAAUGCUCCGGACUAUUCUCCGCAACCCACCUUGCUAGGUCGCCAUUAAAAUGCACAAGUUUUUCAAACGCCUCAUUGUAGUCUAUAUCCAACCGAGCAUAUGCAAUGUUGUCUAAAAGCAACAAAACAUCUUCUUUCCCUUUCUUUCCCCUAAUGUUUUGCCUGUUGAAGAAGCUUGAAAAGUUCUCUUUCACAUGUCGAUAACAAUAGGCGUGAUUUUCUACCCCAAACAACUCCGAAACACUACGCAAUAUCCCUUGAUGUCUAUAUGAUAUAAUAAUUACUUCUUGACCAUCUAGGAUCCCCUUCAAUUUCUCCAAGAACCAAUACCAAUCCUCAUAAUUUUCUGAACCAACCACACCCAAGGCUAGAGGGAACAUUCCAUCAUCUGCAUCAUAUGCAAUGGCAGACAAAAGAGCUCCUUUGUAUGGACCACUUAGGUGGCAAGAAUCAAUAGCCAAUACCGGUCGACACCCCAUGGUGAACCCUUGAAUUGAAAAUGCGUGGGCAAUGAACAAUUGCUUGAAGUGACCUUCAUGAGAAGUGUACUCGGCAAUAGUUCCAAGGUUAAUUUCCCUUAGCCUAUGGCAUAACCAAGGCAAAUACGCGUAGGACGCAUGUGGAGAUCCAUAUACACGCUCUUUUGCCUUCUCUUUAAGAUGCCAUGCUUGGUUAUAAGUCAAUUGAACUCCAUGAUCACGUUCAAAAUCCUUGCAAAUUUGUCGAGGAAGGUAUUAUGGAGUUGUUUUAAACACGUCUUCAACAACAACAGCACCUCUCUUGGAAGAAACCCGCAUCUUAGAUGAACACUCAUCUUGAGCUAUAUGAUUAUGAUUAACUUGGUAAGUAUAAACUCGCAAUAUUUCAUUUUCUUCAACAGCAUGAGCUGUUAUCUUCCAAGGACAAUCCUCAACCGAACACUUUACUGACAUAUGUGUAGGUGAAUUUUUCUUGUACUUGUAUUGAAACCUUCCAGCUAAUGACAUUUGGUAUAUUGCAUUCCGAAACUCAUCUGCAUUCUUAAAUGUAUGUCCGGAACCUAAUAUUGCCUCACGAAACCGAUUCGAUUCUAAAAGGGUGUACUCAGUAUCUGCACAACGCGAUGCAAAACCUCUUGAUAACAUCAUAGAAUUAGGAUUUGCAUCGCAUGAUGCAUUAGACGAAGGAAACGUAGGAUGUGGACCUCUGCAUUUACAUUCAUAACCAAAAUUAGACUACAUAAUGCGUAAAAUUGAUAUUCAUCAAAUUUUAAAUAGACAUCCAAGUGAAAACGCAUUACCCAAGUGCCAACUGUGUAUUCGGUAUAUUUGCCUCUAUGGCUUCCACACCGGGUGACUCGACUAUGUACACAUUUGCAAAGUCAUCACUGUGGGAAACCACGUUAUCCAAGUCAUCCUCAUCUUCUAAAUCUUGGAUGACUCUAGGGUUAAACUUGAGGGUGUAGUGCAUCCUCAUCACAUGAAGGGAAAUGUCGAAUUUUUCUAAGACCUUCUGAGUGAAUUCUUCAAAUGUCAUUCCUUUAUAAAUGUGAAUACCUUUGCUUCUUCCACCAACAUAUUCCCAAAGGCCAUCAUUUUUUUGGACAAGUUUGCCUCCCACGAAAAUAUAACAGUAUAUUCUAUUUGUGGCAUCCAUCAACCUAUUGAAAUAAAGCACAAAUUUAUAUUGUUGAAUAAACAAUAAUGCAUAUUCAAUGUGAUCUUAAAAGUUUUUUCAUCUCACAAUAUACUAUGUUCCCAUACAAAAAAGUUAUAUUUUAAAAAAUGUAUAUACAAAAAAAUGUAACUUUAAAGUCUUAAAAAAUAAUUUUUGUUGCUCCUUUUGAUUAUUCUAACCAUUGUCAACGGUAAGAUUAUUUUAAGAUAGGCACUAAUAAACAAACGGUGAGUUGAACUAAGAUAUGAAGACCGAGCUUCUCUCUUCUCUUGGACUGAUAAAUACUACAUAACCUAAACAAAACUAAAAAUAAUAAUAAAAAUAAAAAACAAAAAUGAGAAAUGUAAAACUGAAAUGGAAAUUAAAAGAUUCAAAUUAAUAGAUUAAAAAAAAUCAUUAAAUUAAAAACUAAGAAAGGCUUUAAAAGGAAAAAAAAAAACGAAUCUCUAACUUAUUUUCCCUAUCAUUCUCCUUUACUUAUAUAUUCAUAGUUCACAUUUUUAUAAGCAAAAACCUCUCUCUCCAACUACUUUAGUGCUACCCAAUUUGACACUACUACUUACCUAUGCUAAUAAUCUAAUCGUGUCAAUACUUGGAACUUUAAGACAGAACAUCACAACAAUAUCUAGUAAAGUAGGAGGAUUUUGUGUCUGAUUCGACAUAAUACUGCAGAACAUAUAUAUAUAUAUAUAUACACCAAAAACAUUAGAAUUAUGGAACUAUAAGACAUUCAAUAGGAAAUAAUCCCCCACGUUUUAUUAAGCUCUGACCUAUACUUACACUAGGUAGAAAACAAAUUCUCAUUCUCACUCAAACCCUUAGACAAUUUCUGUUGGUACUACUAUAUCAGACUUGCCUACAAACUUAUUCAAAGAGAAUGGAGAUAUUUAAAUAUUAAUUAUAAAGCGUUGCUUUUCAAAAUAAUAUGAAGAGAUAAUAGCCUAAAAAAUGUAACAAAUACAGAAUUCUCUUCUAAACUAUCAUGUCCUACUUUAGAUGAUUCAUACAAAACCAUAAGCAAUAGUUUAACACAUUUAAGGUUUAAGGGUAAAAAAAACUAAUAGAUAAAAAGAGAUAAAUCUGUUACUUGUGCCUACAUCUCAAGCCAAUGCACCAUAAGAAAACUUUAGGGUUUUUAGGUUAUCCAUUUUCCCUUUCCAUUUUUCCUCUCCUAGUUUUCUAGCAACCAAUUAAACAAUUAUAAAUUAUUUUCAAGUAUAUAUGACAAUUUUCACAAAUAUUUUUUUGAAUUUAAAAUAUACAAAUACCAUGAAAUAAAAAUCUAAAAAAAAUUACAAAAAUAUAAUCAGAUCGAUUAAGCCAUGAAUCAUGAGUUGCAGGUAAAGUGCAUUUUCUGUAUUCUCAAGGAUUAAAGAAAAAAUUAUGGUUCAAAAUUUUUCCUUUCUUUUUCUCAUUACUUUCUCAGCAUCCGAAUAAUAGUACCAAACCAAGAAGUCAAUUAUUGAAUGGGAACACUAACUUGAACUCCGGAGAUCAAGUUGAACACAAUUUAGAGAUUUGGACUAAGAAAAUUUAGGUCGAGAUUUAGGCAAUCUACUAACCUUAAAUAUGCAACAAGAGAGACCCAACUGAAAUCCAUACCUUAUUCAAAUUCUCGAGAGAGACGGAUGCGAGAAAAAAUGAAAGAGCCACAGAGAUUGAGAUGCAAGCGAUGGAGGUGCUCGGGAGGAAGAGAAGAAAACGACUUCUAGGCUUGAAAUGCUGAAGAGACCAAAAUUUAGGCAAUCUACUAACCUCAAAUAUGCAACAAGAGAUACCCAACUGAAAUCCAUACCUUAUUCAAAUUUUCGAGACAGCCGAAUGCGAGAAAAAAUGAAAGAGCCGCAGAGAUUGAGAUGCAAGCGAUGGAAGUGCUCGGGAGGAAGAGAAGAAAACGGCUUCUAGGCUUGAAAUGCUGAAGAGAGACCAAAAUUAGGGCAAAAUUCCAAAAAGCCACAGAGAUUGAGAUGCAAGCGAUGGAGAAACUCGGGAGGAACAGAAAAAACGGCUUCUAAGCAGAGAAGAAAAUGACUUAUAGGUAGAGAAGAAAACGGCUUCUAGGCAAAAAAGAAAUCGGCUUCUAGACAGAGAAGAAAACGGCUUCUAGGCAGAGAAGAAAAUGACUUCUAGGCAGAGAAGAAAAUGGCUUAUAGGCUUGAAACGCUGAAGAGAGCAAAAUUAGGGCAAAAUUCCCAAGAGCCGCAGAUGAAGAGAAGAAAACGGAGGCUUGAAAUCUGAAGAGACAUAGGGCAAAAUUCCAACCUGGCUUUUUUUGUUUAUUAUAUUUUUUUUUUCAUAAUCAGCAAAGGUUAUUUAUGGAAUUAAUAAAAGUGCAUAUCCUUCUUUUUAAUUUUGACACUUCCUAUGGGUUUUCAGCUUAAAUGGGUCGGUUAGAUGGGCCAUUUCUUAAUUUUUGGGCCCAGCUGGGCCCAAAACACAAUUCUCCCUAUAUUUUGUUAUGAAUAUGAGUGGAUGUUCUAGGUUUGACGGUGGAAAUUAAGGUAGAAUAUAGAUAAGAUUUUAGAGUGUGGACGUUUUGUCAAAAAAACAUUAUUGAAAUAUGAGAUUUUGAAAAUGACCAAAAGAUAUCUAUGAGUAUCAUUUAUUCACACCGAAAAAAUCAAUAUAUUGGCAAAAAAAUCAAUGAAGUUUUUCUUGCCUUAGUCCCAACAUCCACUUGUGAUCCAACAACCAAAUUUAAAUCUUGAUUGGAAACCCUCUUUGAAAAUUACAUGCAUGAUCCAAAACCUUUUCCUUCAAUAGCAUAUAGGAAUAAGUUAUAAAUACAUGGGAGGAACUUACAAAGAUUUAACAAAUAAUUAGUUUUAAGGACUCCACUUCCAAGCAGGCCAUGUGCUUUUAAGGAUUAAAAAAAAAUUGUUUGACACAUUAAUAAGAACAAAUAAUUUAAUGUUUAAGAAUAUUUAAAUAUUAAUAAAAAUAAACAAUUUAAUCUUAAUGAGAUUAUGUUCUAUUUAAAUUUAAGACAAAAAAACAAAAUAGAUAUAACUUUUUCACUUCUUAUAUUUUAAAAUAUUUUUUAAUUAAGCGUCCUUAAUAAUAUUUUUAUUUCAUGGAUGAUUGAUUAACUUUUUUUUUAAGAAAAAGAGAUAUUGUUAAAAUCGUUUUUGAAAAAAGACAAUGAAAUAAAAACUGGAAUUCGAAUUAUUAAAAAUAUUAUAACCUUUAAAGAUAAAACGAAAAUACUAAGCAUCGAGUGAUAAAAUUUAGGUUAUUAAAUUAAAAUAUAAAUAAAUUAAAUAAAGAUAUAAAAAUACAAAUAAAUGAGAAUACCAUUGGAGACAUGCCAAAUAAAAAAUUUUGAUCCCACAGUUUCUUUAAUAUUAAAAGAACGUCAAUUUUUUAAUAAUCUCUUUCCAUCUUUUGGUAAAUGCCAUAGAAUAAAAUAUAACCAUAAUUCUAUACAUUUCUUUCACGGCAGCGCUGACACAUUGGGUGUCCGCAAGUGGACGUUGCAUGCAAUUAUUGGUAGGAGAUGGCCCGGAUAGGUGGCAAUUAUUGGGGCUCUUUUACUUAAUAGAAUAGAUUUAUAAAAUAAUUUUAAAAAUGACUUCGAAGCCUAUGAUAGUUGUUAAAUGUUGUUGAUUUGAUUUUAGUUCCGGUAAGAAAUCCUUUUUUAUUCUAGUAUGAAAUUUUUUUUAGAUAGUGAUUUACUCUCCAUUAAAAAUUCGAUUUGAUGAUAUUAUUAAAUUAAGUUUAAAAAGAUUUGUUAAAUGUAAGAUUUUUUAUUAAGGUGGAGUUGGAUUUGAAGUUUUAAAAUUCAAUUAAAAUGUCUUAAUUAAUUUUUGACAACUUUAAGAUUUUAUUUUUUAAAAAUUUAUUAAUUAAUUUAUAGAAAUUAAUAUUUUAUUUUUUAAACAACAAAUAUUUUUUAAUUAAUUUUUGAAAAAUUAAUAUUUUAUUUUUUUAAGAAAAUUCCAUUUCCAACCAUCUAAGCUCUUAGGUCUAUAUAUAUAUUACCUAAAUGUGUUUUUGGGUUGGAUGCUUUAAUAGAAUCAACCUCAACUUGCUCUAUCAUUUAUAAACUCUCAGCAACGAAUUCACUUAUCAAACCCCAUACUUUUUUGUCUUCAUAAUUAGUAUGAUGAUUUUCCACAUAAAAUUGAUUGUCUUGAAUGUGAUUGUGAUUUUAUUAUUUCUAUGGUUAUGUGAAAUUCACAAUGUUGCCCUUAGCUUUUGUGAAUAAGUCUGUUAAAUUAUCGUUUAAUCUUACUUUCUGAAUAUUGAUUUUACUACUCUUCUGGAGUUUAUGAAUAUAAAAAAACUUGAACAAUCUAUACUUACUUUAGCUUGAGUUUUUUUUAUUUAUUACAAUUAUGACCUAUAUGAUUCUUAUUGAUCUCAAAAUUAAAUUUAAAAGAUUAGGCAAGAGAUUAACCUACUUGCAAUUUUCAUAAUUAUAGUUGACAAGGUUAUGAUAUUUAUCAAGAUUAACUUAAAUGUUAGGUAAGACCUAAGAGAACUUACUUGCAAUUACUAAAUUUGAGUUAACAAAAUUAAUCAAUAGAAUUAAUCUGUCAUCUUUUUGUUUUUAUAAUUGUGACUGCCUUAGUUCUUAUCAAUAUGAAGAUUAAAUUAAAAGAUUAGGUAAGAGCACCCACUUGCAAUUUAUUGAACCCGAUUAAGCAAAAGAAGUUUCACUUAUUUCUCUUUUUAUGAUUAUGGUUGGCAAGGUUCUCAUCAACAUCAAGAUUAUGUAAAGAAACCUAUUUGCAACUUGUUAAAUUUGACUCAUUCAAAAGAUUAGUCAAGCAAAUACACUUGCAAUAAUUUACAAUCAAAAUUCACUUUAAAAUGAUAAAUAUAAGCUAUCUCUUUUCUGGUUGCAUUGAACUUAUUGAUAAUUAGAUUUAAACAUAAAUAAAUAUAAUUAUUUAAGUAUUAAUUAAAAUUUAAACAUCACUAAUUAAAUAAAAUAGUAUAAAUAUAUAUAAAAGAAAAGCAAAACAUUGGUUGCCUGGCUGCUAGCAAGUGGAGCCAUUGUAGGCAAUUAUUGGUAAAAGAUCAUGGGUGGUAAUCAUUUGGGCUCUUUUUAACACUUUCCAUGGCUUUAAAUGCCUUUUUCUAAAGUAAAAGUUAGAACGAUAGAUAAGCAUUCAAAGAACUACACUGCCUUUUUUUUACAGCAAAAGUUGGAUGGAUAGGCAUUCAAAUAACUUUUUUUUUUCCUUGUAACUUCUACUUGCUUAAUUUUUUUUUUUUUUUGUUAAUUUUUCACUACAGAAAAAAAAAAAAAAAAAAAAAAGUCAUCUUGUUAAAACCCUUAUGCAAUUUUCUAACAAAGAGACAUGAGUGACAAUGGGUUAUAUUAUUUUGAGUUCAUGUCGUGUUAGAAGUAAAAAAUAUUAAAAAUUUCUUCAACCUACACAGACUCUUUUAAUUAUAAUCAUUUUCCUUCUUUUUUUAUUUGAUUUUUAUAAAUAUUAAAACUCCACAAAUUGUAUUGUCUUAAAACUUCCCUCUAUGUAAGAAAUAGACAUAGAUAGAUCUCUGGUAAUUCAACUGAAAUGUUGUAAGGACAAAAAAGCAAGUGACUUCUGUAAGCAGGAUAUGAUGCUUGUGAAUGGGACAAGGAAGAAGGUUGAAGGAAGGAGAGUAAACAAGUUUUCCCUUUAAUUUAUAUAGAUUGGUGAUUAGGCUGAAGUAGAGACACCUUGCUACCUCGCUGCAUCUUCAAAUGAUCAUGUUGAUUAACCAUGAAUUGAAAGCCAUGCUUUGCCUGCGAAGUUUGAUUAGAGAGGAAUCUUUAGAUCAAAUUUUGUGAAACAAUUGGUUUUUGAUGGAAUCCUGAAAGUGGAUUACAUAAAUUACUUGGUGCCUUCUUUUGGUACAUGAUACUCAUGAACUGAAUGUCAGCAUGGUAUUCAUGAAUCAAGUUUCAAAACAAUUGAGCUCAUAUAGAUCUUGCAUAACUGGAAAUCAAAGUGAAUCUCAUGUUGUUUUUGAUGGGUUUAGAAUAAAAUCAAUGACAUCACUAUGGCCUUUGUCAAUGACUUGGUUUUAAACUCUGGUUCAAAAUAUCCACUGCAAUGGGAUAAUGACCUUAACAUCCAGUGAUGACUUCAUUUUAGACUCUGGUUCAAAACAUCCAUUGCCAUGAGAUAAUGGCCAUAACAUCUGAUGGACCUCGUUUUCCCAAAGACACGGAAAUGGAUUAGGUAGGGGUGACUCUGAAUCACUUGCAUUGAGUCUACUUCAUGUGAAGUCCCCAAGGUCAGUUGAAGGUUGUCUGGUGAUCAGCUAGAUAAUUCCAAAUACUUGACCCGAGGCUAGAUGCUUGAGGAGGGUAAUUCAAGAGGCCCAACUGUUGUAUAUUGUCUCCCCACAUGGCAAAACCUGUUUUAUCACGAUGAUAAAAAAAAAAAAAAAAGUGUUUAAUUAAGGUAGAUAAUGCAACUUCAGCCAAUAGGGUGUGAGACAGCGAGAGGUGAAGAUAGAGUAACAUACAUUUCUUGUCCAUGGGAUGAUGGCCAUCUAGUAUAUACGAACUUCAAUUUUUAGCCACAUUGAAGAAAGUUGGCCUCUCAUUAAGACACUAUGAUCACAUUUAGAAAUCUUAAGGAAUUUUGAGAAUGUAUCAAUGCCUUGCAUAAUUCCAUUUAGAAAUCUGAGUCCCAGAAAGGUGUUGAUGCCGAAGUCCCAAAAUUUAAAAUUUUGAGACUCUAUUAUUGUCUAUUCUCCUGCCACAGUAACAAGAUUUCUUUACAAUGAACAGUCAUUAUAAUUUCACAUAUGCUAAUGCUAGCAUAAGCCACUUUGAGAAAACAAUUGAUCCUUGGAUUAUUACCAAUCUCAAAGGAAUUGAAGAAGGCUAGAUGGUCAAGGUCCAAAGUUCUUGAUGACAUUUCUAGUUCGCCAAUCGAUGACAAUAUCAUACGUGAAACAAAAGACAUGAAGUCUGAAACAUUCAAAAUCAAAAGCAUUUGUUUUAAUUCUUUAGCAAGAAAAAUAACAUAAUGGAUCUUAUUUGUAUGAUUAUCAAGUUUAACAACACGCCAUUGCCUGACUCCUUAAUUGGCUUCCAAGAUUUAAAUAAUUCAAAGACACCAUUAUGUUUAAUUCCAAUAUAAAAGACUAUCAAAGAAGGGGUAUAUAAAUUUGCUUGAAAUUUAUGCAAGAUAACCAGUCUGAUUGUGGGAGAGUUAACAAACCUCUAAUUUUUUGUCGACAAAAUCUCGUUAAUUGGAUUCCUGAAAAACGUAUUAAAAAUAAGUAAACACUCAUCAUAGUUAAAAUCCAAAUCCCGAGUCAAAAGAAGAUUGUUUAUUGUAGAACUAAACACAAUUACUAAACCUUAUAAUGCAAGAACGCAAGAUUGUCCUCGAACACAUUUCCCAUCUUAUCAUAUUCAAUUUAUGGCCUUCCUACAUAACUGCAUUUUAUAUUUGAAAGGUAAAUUAGACAUUUUUUAUGUGAGUAAUAAGAAAGUAAAUGCCAUGAAAGGCAAACCAUACAAGAAAAGAAGUUGUAAACAUAUAAGAGUGCUUACUAAUCACUGUUGAAUGAUAUGUUAAUUGUCUCUCUUUGAAUCUACAAGAGUUUAUAUUUUGUGAAUCAUAAUAUGCCACCAAGAAAAAUGCCUCCCAGGGUUAAACCCAUAAACACCUUGAUGGAUUAGACAAAGUCUCGUACUAAGAUGCGAAAUCAAUUUUGAUAUUAUUUAUAACCUUUCAAUCUCUUUUGUGCGGACAUUGUCCACUUUGAGUUCAAUGAAUCCUCACAACCUAAAAAUGUGUUUAUCCUAUUGAAUAGAAACUCUCUGUAUUUAUGAUGUUGAUUUAUAAAGAUGAAGAAAUUGUUUUAAAUUUUGUUUUACGAGUCAAUGGGACCACGAAAAAGGAAAACAAAAAGGAAAAAGUUAGUAGAUGUUGACUAAAAUGGAUUAAAAAAACACACACACACACACUCACAAAUAUUAAAAAUUCCUCAACCGAUUGAGAAAAUUCCUUAACCGGUUGCCACUGGUUAAAAAAAUCUUCAACCAGGCCGGUUGAGAAAAUUCCUCAACCGGUUCCCUUUAUUCCUCAACCGGUUGCCACUGGUUAAAAAAUUCCUCACCCGGUUGUUACAAUUCCUCAACCGGUCUCCACUACCUUCACAAGUCGUACCUAUGAUUCACACCAUAACCUAUAGUCUUACAGGUACUAACUAUAUAAUUUUUAGCAUAGAUAAAUGAAUAUAUAUAUAUAGGAACAAAAAAAAAUCUAAUUAUCUAAAAGAUCAUACAAAAUCAAACAUGUCGAACAUGAAUGAUGCCUAUAUAUUACAAUUUCAAUUUGCAGACCAUAUUGAAAGAAGAGUAUAGAAAAUCAAAAUAAAACGGACUUAAUGAUGAAUAAUGUAUGGUCAUCCAAGGUAAGAACUUCCCAAUAAACAUGACGAUAUGUGGAGAUGGAAAUUAUAAAUAUUAGAAAAACAACAAAUAUCAUAAUAAUAAUUUUUCCAUUGCUCAUGUCGACAUCUUUGUACAAAUAAUAGCGACGAUGGUUUGCUUUUCUCUAUUGCCUCCGUGUAAAACUAAAUCACUUGUUAUUUCCCGACGUAGUUUAACAGAAUUACAUAAGUCGGAGACCGUCAUGGAAUCACCAUUGUUGAAUGUCUGCAUAUGUUUAAUGACAUGCACUACACAAUUCCACCUAAGAAAAAUAAAAGAAAAGAAAAACAACUUAUUGAAUGGUUGUAUAAUUAUAGCUCAGAUAAACAAUAGUAAUGUGAGUUAUGUAUUCAUACUAACCCAUUCUCUUGGGUCGGAAUCGAAGGAGCCCAAUCAAUGGAGAAUUGGAAGACAUCUGUCCCUAUGUCAUACAGUUUGAAGAACGUUUGACAAAAUUCAACCUAAUUUAUUAUGAAAGUGUUAAUAAAUAUGGAAGAGAGAAAAAAACAGAAUAAAAGGAAAAUAUAAACAUUAAAGCAUACCACUGUUUUGACACUCUGAAACUGGAACUUGUCUCGAUUCUUCGAUUGUAAUGAAUCCAAAAUUUGGAUAUGAGAGUUUUUGAAGUCAAUGACGCACAAAUACCAAUGACUAGGGCAUUCGUCAUGCAUUGGAAUAAAUAGUUGUAAAGUUAGAAAAACAAUAUAUAUGAGUUGGGGCACAAAAAAUCUACUAUAUUAUAGGUGAAAACAAUAUCUAUUCUAAAUUUCAUAUAUGCAAUUAAACAUUAGAAAUAAUUACUAACCUUCUCGCAAUCAUCUAAUUCGCUAAUGUACUUACUCCCGAUGGAUGUUUUUCUAUCAAAAAAAUGAUGAGGAGUCCCGCACAAAAUCAUUUGCUAAUAAUAAAACAUAAUAUGAACAUUAGUAUAUUGUACUUAAUACGUAAGUAAACAAGAAGAGAAAUAUGAGCUUACUGAAAAUGUCGUGGGAAGAUAACAUCUUAUACUUGCAAUGCCUAUAAAUUGCCUCUGAAAAUAAUUUAGCUUUGAGGCUUCUAGUUUUAUUACCUGUUGUUAAACAAUAACUUCAAUAAAUUAAUUUAAUUAAUUUAGCACACAAUUGAAAUAAAUGAAGUAGGUACUUACAACAUCCAUCAAAUUUUGUCUAGGGCGUAAGCACUCAAAAUCUCCACGAAUUCCAUGUUCAUGAUCAAAGUUAACAAGAAGCUCACUAAAAUAAUAAUAUGUUAAAACAUUCUUUACUAAAUUGGAAGCAUAUGAAGGCUAAAAUUGUAACAAGACAUCUAUUAAUAUUCUAGACACUACAAACCUUUUUAACAAUCCUUUAUUGAAAACAUAAUUAGCAACAAGAGAUUGAAGUACAUUGAAUGAUUGACCAUCCACCACGUCUUCACGAAUGGACAUGGGGAUUGACUAAAUUGAAAACAAGACAUAAUUAUUACCUAUAUAUGUUGAGUAUCCAAAAUAAGAACAUGAUAUUAAACUAUUUGUAUUAAACCUCUGAUGCUUGACGUUUUCCCAUCUUCCUUAAAUUGUGUACAAACGGGGAGACCUUGAAUUUACUUGGUUUCCUCUCCCUUAAUGUACAUGUUUUCAUGACAUGAUCGGGAUAACCACAUAGUGCUCAUAAUGGUUCCUAAUAUGGAAAAUACCAUUAAUAUACAUCUAUUUACUAUGCAAUGGUUAAGUAGUUGUAAAGAAAAUAUUUUUUUCUUUUAUAUGAUACAUACCUUUCCAUAAUCUCUUCUACUCCUUUUGAUUGGAAAUGGUAAAAUAUCUACAUUUUCGUCUGGAAUGAUAUGCACUUCAAUUGAUGUAGCACAUGCAUCUUCAUUCUUUCCAUUCAAGUCCUCAGUACAUAACUUCUCAAUUGUAAAGAAAAUAUUUUUUUCUUUUAUAUGAUACAUACCUUUCCAUAAUCUCUUCUACUCCUUUUGAUUGGAAAUGGUAAAAUAUCUACAUUUUCGUCUGGAAUGAUAUGCACUUCAAUUGAUGUAGCACAUGCAUCUUCAUUCUUUCCAUUCAAGUCCUCAGUGCAUAACUUCUCAAUUGACAAAGUGUGAACAUAAUGUUCAUUUCCAUUCUUAUUGUCCUUAUCUUCAAAACUUCUCUCACACGAGAGAAUGUCAUUCUUCGUUCCCUUGUCGUGCAUUCUCAAAGGUUUUUCGCUUGAUCCAACGAAGAGACCUUUCAAUGUAGUAUAUUUCUCCUCAAAUUCAGUCAAAACUUUUUCACACCUACUACUUGGACCAUGAGACAAAUCAAUUAGAUGUGUCUUUAAUUGUUCAAAGGUUUUAUCCAUCUCCAUUAAGCUCCCACCGUGUUCCUAGUGAUAUAUGGGAACUUCAUUAAUAACAUAAUAAUACAAGGGUUCACUACUAAUAUUGAUACUCAUGAUGAAUAUUGUAAAACGUACUCGUUUAAUAACAUCUUUAUUUGGAUUGAUUUCAAAUUUCUGCUCCUCCUCAUUCUCUCUCUCCAUUGUCAUCGCAUUUCUAUCAACACAAUCCCUUAUCUCAUUUUGUAUCACCCAUAUUUUGACCUACAAUAUAUUCAUCAAAAUAUAACACAUAUCAAAUUAAAAAUCACUAAAAACUUAAACCAAUAUUAAAAGACUUUUGAAACUAUAACUUACAUUGUCAUUUGCAUAUCCACCGACUUUUUUCAAUCUUCGUUUCAUGUCCAGUACUUGAUCAUCUCCCCAAGCAGUAAUCCGAGGACAAGGUCGAGUAUAUAAUGGUAGAAAUUUCUCUUCGAACGAUAUAUGCUUGUGGUAGAAUAACUGCAAUUAUAUUUGACAUACAUAUAUAGUUAACAAAUUUUAUUAUAACAAAUUCGAAAUUCACUAUGAUGUCGAUUAAUUAUAAGGACAUUACCAUUAAAAACAAUAAGCAAUCGCAAACCCCACUUUGUUGUUUCAUCUUAAACUCUUCAAUCCCAUGCACAAGAUAAGACAACACAAAUUCAGCCCAAUUCAUCUUCUUUAUUGAAUCAAUGUCUUCCACAAGAUGUAAGAAAGAACGUUUCACAAAAAACUUCAUUGUUGGGCACAAUAAUGCACCCAACACAAAUAAUACAAAACGAACUUUGAAAUCGUUUCCACCUUCUUUAUCCUCCCUAAUUUGAUUUUCUAACAUCACUAAUGGCAAUUGCCCCUUUUUAUCACAAUAUUUUUUACAUAAAUCAUUGUUAUGGCUAACAUCUUUGUUCAUGCCAAUCUUCAACCCUCUUGCCCUCAAUCCCAUAAUAAAUUCAACAUCAACGGAGGAUAAUUUGAUACAAGUAUUAUACAACUUUCACAUAUAAGUGUUCGGGUUGAAACUAUUUAUCAACCAAAGACAUAACCCAUGAUCAAUUUUCCUACAUCGGAGUUGCAAGAGGCUACCAAAACCUAUUUCUUCUAUGGCUGCUCUUUGCUUUGGUUCUAAUUCUUCAAUAACUCUAAUCACUCGUUCGGGUGAGCAUUGAGUCUGAAGAUAUAACUGAAAAAAUACACAAACAUCAAACAUGUUUAAAUUAAUAUAAUUUCCAACAAAUACAUAAGUAAUGAAAUUAAAUAUUCAUUACAAAAAAAUUGCCUUUGGAGCCACACCCUUUUGAAGUCAAUAUUGUUUUGAACUUUCUUUGGACUUUGCCAUGAAAUCUUAUUUUUCUACUUUUGAAAGUUCAUUCCACUUCUUGCCCAAUUUUUUCCUCAACUACAUUAAUUGGUCACAUACUUUAAAUUCUAAUUUUAAAAUGUAAUUAUAUUAGACACAACAAUAUUACUCCUUACAUCAUCAUUUAUCUUAACUCCUUUAUCCUUCUCUUUGAUCAUGACCAAUUGAUCGUUACUACAAAACAAUUUCAAACAAAUUUAACUAUAAUAACCACAAAAAAAUACAUUAAAAAACAUAUUCUUUUACAUAUUUCUAUUUUUCCUUACUAGUAAUGUAUCCAAACUCCAAUAGGCCUCUUUGGAUUUCGAACAACUUCAACAACAUUGCGUUCGCUCCUAUAAAUUAAAUCAAAUCAUUUAAGUCAAUUUUUAUAAUAUGAUUUCAAAUAUAAUAAAUCAAACAUACUUUCACUACCACUACAAAAUCCUCCCUAAAUCUAUGUACAUUUUAAAUGGUCACAAAAUUAUCAUAUCAAUUAUUUUCAAUCUCCAAUUAUGGAUUUAACCACAUUAUUUUUCAUUAAUGUCAUUGAUCCAUAAAUCUCACAAAAAACAUGAAAUAUAAUGGCUACAAUAUUGUAAAACACAUUAUCAAUACUCACAUUUUUUUUCCUUAAUAUAGAACUCGACAAAUAAUUACGACACAACCGUCUUUCGAUUAACAAAAAAUUGUGUCCUUUUUAGCUUUCUUUCUCUUAGUACUACACAUCUUCUUCUUCUUCUUCUUCCAGUUAUGUCUUCAAUUCGGGUUUUCAAACCACGAAAUUUAAAAGCCGAAAACACCCCUUAAACAAAAUAUAAAAUAUGAAGAAAAUACAAGGGUUAUGGAGAGGAGAGGGGGAAUGGGAAUAUCGUACUCUUUACUUCAAAACCCGAAAAAACCCCAAAUAUGAAAACUAAAUAUGGACAUAAUCAAAGGGGGUGCGAGAAAAUACAGAACUCGAAAAGAUGCCCCUCGAAACGGCUACAAUAUCUCACCCGAAAACACCCAAUAACACAAAAACAUCCAACAAUACAUGAAGACAAUUGAAAGCGCCUGAAAAUAACAGUCGAUGGAGAUGAGCAGAAAACACAAGUACUUGGAGAAGAACCGAGUAUGGAGAAGAGAGGAAAAUAGACGAAAAUAUCGGGAAACUCGGUAAAAAAGGGAGAAAACAGAAACUAAACUGAAGAUUAAUGGUGAGAGGGGUCUCUAUCUCCUUCUUUAGUGCUUUCUUUCGCCCAUUUCUUCAUUGUCUCGCAUUUGGCUCUUAGGUUUCUUCCGAAGAUAGGAUUUCCUUUUUUUUUUCUGGAGUAGACUCUGGUUUUUAGGUUGGUUUUGAGUGUAUUACGGGGUUGUUUGAGGUGGGUUUUGGAAGAUUAUGAGAUUGUGAGCGAAGAUUGAGAGAGGGUUGUGAUUGUGGAGUCGGGCUGGUGAUGAAUUUGGCACUAGACACUCCUUGAAUGAAGAGAGGCAAAGAGAGGAAACUCGACCCGACUGUCGAGGAUGAGUGGAGAUCAGAGCACGGGGACACAGCCGACUAUGGAGGAGAAGACGGUUGCCUAUGGAGGAGUGUGGAGAUGAGAGCACGAGACACAGCCAACCAUGGAGGAGAAGACGCUCAACUAUGGAAGAGAAAAGAGGGGAAAAAUGGGAAAAUGGGGGCUAAGAGGGGGAGAGAACAUGUAGAACAGGAAGGAAGAGAGAGAACAAACGGGAAAAUAGGCUGAGAGGGGGAGACAACAAGUAGAACAGGAGGGAAGAGAGGGAACAAACAAGAAAAUGGGCUGAGAGGGGGAGACAACAGGUAGCCAGUUUUUUUUUUUUUUUUUCAUUUUUUCUUUUUCUUUUGAAUGGCUGAGAUUUAAUAUCUUUCAUCCAAUGGCUACAAAAAAUCUGAGGCAAGUACCUCCCUCGACACCAUAGAAUUUUUCUAUAUAUAUAUAUAUAUAUAUAUAUAUAUAUAUAUAUAUAUAUAUAUAUAUAUAUAUAUACAUUUUCAAAAUUUCCUAAGGCACAUUUUUCAAGCUUAAGAUUCACAGGGCAAUAAUAUUGUAAUCUUGAUGUAAAAUGCAAGUGAGAUGGAAGGAGUAAUUAAUUUGUUUUAUUAUUCACCAUUUUUACAUGUUAAUAUAUAUAUAUAAUUCACCAAACACGUGUUUGAUCAUGUUUUCUAUGCUUGUUUUUAAAAACUAUUUUUAGUAUUUUAUAAAAAUAAAGGUAUUUAACAAAUUAUUUUUAAAACCAGUUUUUAAAAAUAAAAAAUAAAAACUAAAAAUCUUGUUUAAAUAAAUUAUUAAAUUUUUUUUUAAAAAAAAACAUUGUAAAUUCAAUAUAAUAUGAAUUCAACAAAAAAAACUUGUAACUUUUUUUAGGUUUCGAAAAUUUUGAGGGAAAUAAAAUAAAAAGAAAAAAAUACAAGAAAAUAAAAAAAAACUUUGCGGAAGUAAAUUUUCUCUUCCUUUUAAUUAAAAAAUUAUUAAGAAAUCAAAAUCUUAGCUGGAUCAUUGAGUCAGCGUGGGACUUCAAAACUAGCACAUGUGCAUGCCAUUAUUUAUUUAUUUUUGUACUUUCAAAGCAUAUUAUUUUUAUUUUCAAUAUUUUAAGAUGACGCAUUUUUCAAGCUUAAGAUUCUCUUUAUAAUUGUUGUUGGUUGUAUCAAGAUUAAUUUAAAUUUUAGAUAAAACUUAACACAACUUACAUUCAAUUUAUUAAAUUUGAGUUAAUAAUAUUAGACAAUAGAAUUAGCAUGUGAUCUUUUUUAUUUUAUAAUUAUGGCCGGCUUGAUUCUUAUAAAUAUAAAUAUGAAGAUUAAAUUAAAAAAUUAGAUUAAACUCGAUUUAAUAAAACUAGCUUAACUUUUUUGUUUCUUAUAAUUAUGGUCCGCAAGCUUAUUGUCGAUUUGGGAUGACAAUGGAUGAGUUUUUUUUUUUUCCUAUACUUGUGUUUAACAAGAUAGAUUUGAAAUUUAAAUAAACGAAUUAGAAGUAUGUGGACCCCGUAUUUCAGCUCAUGCGUUUCCACUCGAUGGCGAGCUCGAUUUUUUUAUUUAAAAAAUGAUUUUUAUUUAUUAGAAAAUGACUUGGAGUCACCACUUAUUUUGUUUUAUUUUUUAAAAGGGUAAAUAAAAUAAGAAAGAAAACUCUAAAUGUGACUCAUUGUUUUGGAAAAUGUGGUGUGUGAAAAACCAGAUCGGCCUCGGGGAUCAGGUUAAUUAUCGAGAAGGUACAGUAAAGACUAUAACACCCCUCUAAGUCCCUAAAGUUGAGUAUUUACUAAUAAAAUGAAGCUGAUGUGACAAUCAAUAAGUAAAUCAAUGGAUACUCAAAUCGAUCAUGCACAUAUGGAAAUCAGAACAUGCAUAGAGAAUGAUCAGAGUGAGAGUUGGUGCGUACCUGGGCAACGAGCCACCAUACGCUAUCAAGAAGUAAAGUUAGUAUACAAAUAAUGGACAUAAAACAUAACUCACAUGUCGCUAAAUUAAGUACGAAGUCAUCACAUGUCACAAUUCAAUCAAAUGGGUUUUCAAAGGAAACAUCCAAUAAUGUUGGGCCCCACCAAAACCCAUUUAUUUUGCAUGAACCAAUUCCAAUAACUCCAUUAUUCGGAAUUACAGGAUUAAAUUUAUGCUUAUUUUAAAACAUUUUAAAAAAACGAGGAAAAUGUAAAAAUGGCUUGUCGAAAAGAACAUAACAACCAAUAUUUUUAUUGAAAGAGAUGGAUUUUUGGGAUUUAAAAAUUCUAAAGAUGAAAAAUUGGAAGAUUCGAAAUUAUUUGAAAACUAGAAUUUGGAAAAUCAUUCACAAAAUAUUUUUAAAAAAAUGAGAGGAUGAAAAAGUAGAUGAUGACACAUGACCCAAAAGUUGCAUACCAAAUGUGGUCAUGCAACCGGAAGCAUGCAGGGGCGGGCCUUGAGUAGAAAGUCAACCUGAAGCACAACUGAAUUGAUGAGAUCUGCAUAACUCACUGUCAGAAUUAAUGACAUGCACCUCGCGGGUGCAGUUGCAAAAGUUUGAUCGCAUGUGCUGUAUGAUGCAGAUUCAUAUCCCCCAUAUUCCUGCUUUGCAUUUUCUCUAACACAUUUCUUCAGAAACACAUCCAUUUGACUCUCAAACCCAUAAGAUAUAUCUGCCAGCAUAGGAGGAUUAGGAAUUGAUGCAGAAGCAUGAUGCAUCACACCAAAAUCAAUAAAUGGGUGACCAAAGUGUUCAGAGUUGUAGCAACAGUCACAAUCCAAGCAAAAAUCUCCAAGCGGGACAAAACCAUAUUUCACUACCUUUAACAGUGAUUUUCAAUGGAUGAUCAAGAUCAUGUAACUCCAUAAAAAGAAAAUUAGCAGGGAACCACUGAUCUAGAGAAUGGUUGCCUUUAUGACUACUAGAAAAAUUAAAUCCAUCUUCAUUCAUCUCUGCCAGCUUGCCCAGAUCCCCUAAGUCCCUAAAAAAAAAUCAUUUCCUUCCACAUUAGGUAAUGUAUCAUCCACAUUUUGAGCAUGGCUGGGUUUAUCCACCUCAUUUUCAUCAUUCUCAAUGGAAACAAGGAUGUUAUAUUCUUCAAACAUGUCAAGCAUUUGAUAGAAGCUCAUUAUCAUCUGGAAGCUCAUAAAUAUCACCAUCUAGAACUGAUGGAAGCGCCAUGUCAGUAGAUGGAAGACUUCGAGAUGGACCUGAGUUAGAUGGAAACCCAAUAGGUGCGUCCUCAGGGCCAACCGUGUCUCUUAAAAUGGAAUUGCUUUGGCUGUCAUUAAGAAUUUCAUGUGAUGAUUCAGCAAGGUGACAUGCCUGGAAACUAAUUGAAGUAACGGCGGCAACAGGUCUUUCCUUCUCAACAGUCUCAGUUUUCAGCUGACUAUGGAGAUACCGAACUGAUCAACAUAAAACCAACAAGAAAUGCUCUACUCCCUGAAUAUUUCCUGACGUAACCUCCUUCAGAAUACCAUCGGGCAAAGCAAGAUUCGCAUACUAGGUAUCUGAAACUUGUAAGCUUUCCCCUGGACCAAACCCCUUAACGUGCCAGUCGUAUUCCACUCUCAAUCCAUUUGCAUCAGUGGCCUUGAACUUGUGCAGCGUACACUCCGGCGACAAAGAAGUUUCCGACGCAGCUUCCUCGUAGUUUUCAAAAGACCGACGCGUCAGCAUGCGAGGGUUUUCAUCAACGGCGAAUGCCCAGACCCGACUGGCAAUGAGCUUAUGGUAUCGGACGUCGACAGAAUCAUGAUUAUCAAUGAGAACAGUCGCCAGAUUGACGCACAGAAUCUUGCAGGGGAAAAGAUCAAAAGUGAAAAUUCUUGCGAUGGAUGGGAGUAAGAAAGAACAUCAUUCCUUAGUGGGGACCUCUGGAAUCUCUAACCCUUGCCAUAAUUUAUCUGUCUGUAUAAAAUUCCGACGGUGCUGGUAUCGAAUCUUGUCUGUCAGCAUUUAGAAAUGGCUCAUAGUGGCAGGCUCUGGCUCUGCAUCUGAACAAUCACAAGUGCCGAAAAUGAAAAACCCAGCCAAGAUUAAUAAUAGUGCUACUGCUAUUAGCGCUGGCUGAUGGCGUCGAUGGAGACGAGAACAAGGCCUAAGGAAUAGUGGGAAAAUUUGCACUGACACUGACGUAUUCAUGUUUGCCAUUCUUCAAAGCGGUGGAAAAGAAUGCACCGAUCUGCUCAUGUACGUCUUCCAAGCCAUUCACCACAUAGGAAUAUCCACGUCGACACCUUGGCUUUUUCUGGAUUACUAUUGGGACUAGUCUUGAGGGGGCCAGAGGCACCAGAUCAGUAAUAUCCUUCAAUGUUGAAUGCACACGUGAAAGAACUUGGUCUUCCCUUGCAAGACCACGUGGCUGCUUCAGUAAAUCCCCGUUGACAGUAGCUUCUCAUUGUCCUGUCCGAACGCUCGUGUUCACCAUUGAAAUCAGUGCAAAUGGGUCAUCAACUGACUGGUACCGUACUAAUAAGGCUUACAUCAAUCUCGGGAGUGUAGCUGUUGCUCACCACAUGGAAACACCCAUCUCCGCACCUGGGCAUUCUCUGACCUAACCAUCUCCAAAACGGUUGAACAUUUGUCAUUUGCAUUACGCUGGUGCACCUGAUUUUGAAAAAUAUUCCCAGAACUGUCACGGAUUAUACAUCUUUUCGAAUGAAGGUAUUUGGGCUGCCUCUAACUGAUAGAUAUUGGACUCACAAUGUCUCUUGCAGCAAUUGCUAUCUCACAUGUGCCAAUUUCUUUAAUUUGUACCCAUUUAUGGGCAUCUCCAUGAAAGGGUCUUUACUGACUUUAAGUAGCUCUUUCAAAGGCCAACCUAUGGAUUACUUGGGUGCAAUUGUGAGCUCCAUCUGGUAUUGCUUGGAUCUUACCGGCAAUGCAAGGACUGAAUCAUUACGAGCAGCAAGUUCUUCCAUUAAAAGCCCUUUUUGCCUUAUUUAUAACCAGUUUCCGCAACUUAGGAACCUCAUCCAGAAAUCUAGUCUUGAUCCAACAAAUCUCGACGUUCAAAGCAAGCACAGAUGCUCAAUUUUUCCCGUUGAAUGCAGUCUUCGUUUUCUAAAGAACGACUUCGAUGCCGGCUUCAAUGAUGGCGCCCGGAUGAACGAAAACGUCAUCACCGGGACAUUGGGACUCUUCUGCUUAUCGAUGCCACACUUGUAGCAGUUCAUGCACAAUAGCUUCAGAUCUGUCUAAGAGAUUACAGCCUGCAUGCAAGGUGUUUCCUCCAGCAAAUGCCGAAAUCCUGUGGUGGCGUUCCUGUAAAUGCUGAAUAGGAAGAGUGAGCAUCGCUUUUAUUCCAAGAAUCUGUGCGAAUACGCUGAGACGAGCCAACUCAACCCAGUUCGACACAAAGAAAGGAUGAUUUGUUUUAAACCCAAAACUCAUCUCUCUAUCAACCAACAACUGCGCAUGAAGGGCAUGUGGUGUAGAGAGAGAAAUGUGGUGAUAUGCAUGGGGGCAUAGAAGGUGACCAUGGGUGUACGACUCUCAGAAGCAUGAGUAAGGAAUGGGUAUGGGCAGCAUGAAGGAUGGGUAUGGGUAGUAUGAAAGAUAGGUAUGGGGGGUGAGUAUGUUUGGUAGACUUGAAGAAAAAUGGGUAUGAAGAGCAUAUGGUAUAGAGAGAUGAAUGAGUGGGGAAUGGGUGGUGAGCGAGUUAGUGAGAAGAAUGGGUAUGAAUGUGAACGGGGUGGAUGGAAAUAUAUCAAUGAGAGAGAACGGGUAUCUGGGCAUGCUGAAGUAUGGGGAUGAAGGUGGCCAUGCGCAAUAGUCUCUACGUACGUGGAUAGGAAGUGAGCAAUGGGUGUGGGAAUGAAGCGGGUUGUUGCAGUGGAUGUGAAGGAUGAGGAACGAGUAUGAGGGAUGAGUUUGGAGGAUAGGUAGAGUGGAUUUGAAAUAUGAAUGGUGAACGGAGAUGUAGAGAAGGGAAUUUAAUAGAUGGGUGGAUAAUGAAACAAACUUCCCGGCUGCGUCUUCAUACCCUGAAUUCAGGUUAGCAUCGUCAUAGCCACCUCGCAUGUGCAUACGCAUGUGGCGGCCUUCUUUGUCAACAACCCCACGAACAUGGUGCUGCCUCCACACUCAGCGAGUGAGUGAUCAAUCAGGCGCAGUAGGGCAGGGGGUAUAAGCUGUUUCAAAGCCCCAAGAACCAUAUCCCACGACACUAUUCCAUCUGAGUCUGAAUGCAUUGAUUAAACUGGGCCAUCCACGGACACAGCCUGUGACAUGAAGUUUAGUGGCAGUGAUAGCUUGAUAGUGAGGGCAUGCUUCCUAGAUGGGUCCAUGACUUCUUCAUUGGGUCGUGAACCUCAUACCCACCAUCGCGGCCCACCCACAGGGCCUUGUAUCCAUUACCAUCAAUUUCAACAAAUGGAAUUUCAAACUCAAGUGAGUCCACUGAAGGUAAACAAACGCUUUGCCACCUGAUAUUUAAGAUACUACCAUGUGUCAACUGCAAAUAGAUUGCUGCUUCCCCUUAGUGCUGAGGGGACUCUACUAAACCCAAACGUCCUGAGUUGUUGACAAUCUUUUGUGAGACUCCUUUCAUCCUAAAAAAAAAAUAACCUCUAUCUUCGUGCACAGAAGAACUCCUUCUUUCAAAGUCCUAGUCAUGAUUUUUUUCCAGUAGAAGUAGGUAUCAGGACAUCCAACGUCCUUUUUGACCUGUAUGAGAUACUCCUUGGAAUACCGGUCUGAAAAGAGUAAUUGAGCACGGGCUUAGCUCCAGCUACUAUAAAUCUUCUAAUCUCUUUAGGAAUGCAUCAGAGGAAAUGUUCCUAUGGAGCACUAAAGAUCUUAGGUGGUUCAGUUCCCAAACCCAACUGCUCCCCAAGAAGAAAUCAGUCUUUCAAAUUUAAUGGGAUAAGAUUGCAGGAAGGGGAAUCUGAUCCAAGAGCAUUUAAAUAAGAUCCAGGAGGUGUAUAUGCAUUGGCCUGAGCAUUCGGUGACUCUUUUCUGUAUCAUAACCACUAAGAGAGGAGCCGUCUCUUUCACGCAAACUAGAUUUCCAUUUUCAGCUUUUCAAAUUUCGUUCAACUUUAAAGAGACCCGGUAUUUAGAUCCACAAAGCAACAGUGAAAACAACCACCAUUUCUAGCUCAAUUUUUGUUUUUGUUAGGUAUAGGCAACCUCCAUUCUUAUCAGUAUUCCCAUCGCUGGUGGACAGCAAUUCCGAUUAACAUUAAAAUGCAGAAGCAGUUUGAAGAUAGAAAAUGAAUGUAAAUAUAUAAUAUUACACAACAUUAAACUCCCUUUUGCCCUGGGUCUCCCCUGAAAAUAUUAAAACGAAAAAACUACAUUUUUUGCAAUAGUAGGGACUUGAACCCAAACCAAUUAUUAUCCAUUUUAACAAUGACAAUUCUGAAUCAUUAGGUUAAAACCCACAUUUGUUUCACGGAUUAUCUCCUUGAACUAAAUUGCUAAAAGGUUGGUUUUUGUUUUUUGAUUAAAUUAAAAAAAUCAAAAUAUAUUCAAUUUAAUUAUAUUGAUUGAUAUAAAUAAAUACCCAAAAGUGAAACAUAUAUAGUAAAAGUUUUUCCAUUGAACUACUGUGAUACAAGGUUUGCAAAAAAUAGGCAAGUAGCAAUAGAAAUUAUUAUAAAAUCAUUGGUUUAUAAAAAUAUUAAAAUAAAAGUAUUUUAGUCAUAUCUUAAAUGAAUAGUAGUCAGUCCUUUAUAUGAAAUAAAAUAUAUUUCUCUUUUUAUAUGAAAUUGGUGGGGAUAUAACCAUCAAACAUCAAACCAAAAAGAGAAACCAGCCAUUUACAAGAGAAAAUAUCAAGAAUAUUAGAGAGAACAAAAUAGAGCAUGUAUAUGCAGGCAAUCGUGUUCAACUAAAACAACCUUGUGGCCCUAGAUGUCCACAGCAAAUCACAAAAUAAUAUUCAUGGAUGAUGUUGGACAUUAAGGGAUGGAAACGUAUCAAGCUCAAGAUAGCCUUGCUUGGAAGUUCACAGCGCGACCUUCCUUUCCUCAGCUAUCUUCUUCCUCCAUCCUUUCCUUUUCUCAAGCUAUCUCUCCUAAAGAAAAUGCUAUGUCACUUCCUCUCUCCUCCUAGGCUGCUCAUUCUGGUUCUUCUCUAAAAAUGAAUACGCUUCUCCCUUCCCUACCUCUGGCUUCCUCCCUAAACUCAAAGAACGCACCUCAAAAAUCUCUCCCCUCUCUGUUUCUCUCCUAUCUCUGUUUUCCUCCUCCGCGGCAACGAAAACACCCACCUCUCAAAAAAGUAUCACUCUCCUGUCUUUCCUCUCUCUCAUACGCUCCUCCUCUCCGACCUCUGGCUUUCUCCCCAAGCAAAAGAAUUCCCCCUCUGAAGCUAAAGGAAUUCCUCUUCUCUCGUCCGACUUGCCCCCCAAGAAAGAAUACCCUCAAAAUAUCUCUAAAAAACCCCCUCUCCAAACGCACCACCCUACAACAACCAAAACACCACCUUGCCUCUACCAGAAUCUGCCUUCUCUCUCUCCUACGCUCCUUCAUAACGACUUCGACUUUUUCCAGAAUCUUCUUGACACUAACGUAAUUCCAUGAUAGGCGACCACGAGGUAGCACUUGCUCUCAAAGAGCCCUCCAUCUGGCAAGUGAGCUGCAGAAAAUGGGAGAAAAAUGAGCCCCAAACGGGGUCUACAAAGUGGGUUUGAGAUUUUUUUUUUUUUUUAAAAAACCUAAGAUGAGUUUAGAACGGGUAUUACUUAGUCCCGCCCACCCCACCUUGAUUACAUAUAAAAUUAAUUUAAAAUGUUAAUUUAAUUUAAUUUUUAUUUUCCUAUUUUUAAUAAAAUAAGUUAUAAAAAAUUAUAAUAUUUUAAUUAUUUAUAAAAUAUAUUUAUUUUGAUAUAAUUAAAAAUAUGUAUUUUAAUUUAUUUUAUUUUUUAAAAAAAAAAAAGUUAAACAUGUUGCCUAUGGGAAAUUCGCAUACUAGUCCACCUUACCCCGUCCCGUCUAAUUUUUUUAAUAAGACGGGUAUGAGAAUUAUUUUGAAUAAACGGGAUAUGAUUGAGAUGAGUGCAAUCCAUCCCCAACAUGUAUAGCUUGCCAAUCUCCAACGUCAAGAUGUAUUUAAUAAAAGAUUAAGUAAGGAACCUAUUUGCAACUUAUUAAAUUUGAUUAAUUUAAAAGGUUAGUGAAGCAAAUCCAUUUGCAAAAAUUAAAAAUGCAUAGAUUUUUAACUAAUUUUAAAUAUAUUUGAUUUUUUAUUUAUUUAUAUUUUCCAUAUUAUAACCCAAUAUGAAAAAAAUCACUUUCCUUAUUAUUUUUUUCUUUAUUACUUUUUGGAACAAAUAUAACCUAAGACUAUGUCUGGUUUCCUUAAAAUUUAAGAGAAAAUAUGUUAAGGAAAGAAAAAACAAAAAAAAUAAAAAAAUGAAAUUCAAAAUCAAUAAUUAUUUUAUAUGUUUCUUCAAAUUCAUUUAACUUAUUUUUCCCCAUUAUAUAAAUAUUAAAUGAUUUUAAAAUACAUAAAUUUCUAACUAAUUUAAGUAAUAUUUGAUUUUCUUUCAUAUUUUCUAUAUUAAAAUUAAAUAGAAGAAAACAAUUUUUUUAACAUUUUUUUCUUUCCUUAGCAUUUUCCUAAAGCCAAACAUAACAUAAAUGUUUUGAAUUGAAAACUAAUGUCAUUGUAUAACUUUAUUGAUUGGUUGGAUCCUUCCUAAGGGAGGGAGUUGUUUUUUGUUUUCCCUUCCAUUUUUUGGCCAUCUUUCGAUAGCCAUUGUAUAUAUCUUGUGUGCUUUUUCUAUAUUGUUGAUAUUGGAGGAUAGAUUUUAAUAAUAUAUAUAUAUAUAUAUAUUCUUAACUUCUUGUUUUUAUUUUUAAUGUGAAAGCACUUUUAGAUUUAGCAUGCCCAUAUUAUUAGUUGUAAGACAAAUGAUAGAAUUGAAAAGAAUGAUUUGGGCUUUGUUCUCAGAAGAAACAACGUUAGUAUUAUAAGUAGAGAAAAGGCUACAAAUUAUAGAUGGGAGAUCCUCCCAAUUAGAAGAUGUUAUGAGAGGAAGGUAGAAGAAAGAAUGACAAUAACAAAAAAUAGACACCAACCCAAGGCCCACAGCACAAAUAUCCAAGUCCACCACUGAAACACAAAACAAGCAAGGGUGAAGGUGAAGACAAGAUGAAAGGCAUUUGGCUUCGAGGGGAGAUAUGAUCUAUUGGCGAACCUAUCAGCUUCCUGAUUGGUUGCUCUAGACUUUCAACAGAAGGAGCAUCUCAUGUCUCUAGACAGCUUCUCUAUCCUUUUCAACCAAUGGUUAUGUCUCCAUAAACAACCCUUCUUUUAUUUGUGGCAGGUCGAUUUUACAUCUCAAACUUGCAUGGCAUAUUGCUGUUGAAUUGAAACCCACAAAUUUGAUUUUGGCAUUAUGGUCAUCCCCCUCUUAUGUGCUCACAAUUUUUUUGUAACUUAUUUCAUUUUCUGCCAGGUUUAGCCCUGAAGCUCUAAAUGGGCUAUUCAUCAAGGGAUUGGUUGGCUGGUUUUUGCAAGUCUCACUGCUGAAAGUAUCAUUGCUUUCAUUGGGUAUUGGGGAGGCACCCUUUCUGGACAUUGUGGCAUAGCAGGGUACACUUUCACAGGGAUGUGCUUGGCUGUCCUUGAGAGGGAUCAUGUGGAGUAUCUCAUAUUAUUUCUUGAUGCCCUGGGCAUGCCUAUGCAUGGGAAUAUUCUUGGUAAAAACAAUAAAGAGAGUCCUCUUUGCAGAGGUGAGGAGUUAUGUUUCCAGCAAGCAUCACUAUCUCUUGCUCCUUAUUGCUUUGGCUCAGUUCCCACUUUUCAUAUGGCUUGGCAACAUUAGCCUUCAUUGGCUUUUCUGAACUUCAUCUUUGAUAACUGUAUCCGGAAACAAUUUGCUUCUGUGGAAGUCUUAAAAUGUUGUAGUUUUGGUCUAUGAUGUCGGCCAAGUGACCAUUCUCCAAGACUAGAAAUAUUCUUUAAACUUAUGCUAAAGCUUAAAUAUGAUUCAAUUGUUCUCCUAGUUAAAACAGAAACCAAGCACUUGGCUUCCUUGUUCAGAAUUAUUUAUCCUUUUUUUCCCAAUUGAUUGGAAAUGAACUAGUUUAGCACUUGUAAUUUGACAUGUUCAUUUAAAGCAACUGUAGUUAAUAAAACAAUUGAGCAUGAACUGGAGUUGCCGAUGGAAUCCUGAAAGUGGAUGACAUAAAUUACUUGGUGCCUUCUUCUGGUACAUGAUACUCCUGAACUGAAUGUCAGCAUGGUAUUCAUGAAUCAAGUUUCAAAACAAUUGAGCUCAUAUAGAUCUUGCAUAACUGGAAAUCAAAGUGAAUCUCAUGUUGUUUUUGAUGGGUUUACAAUAAAAUCAAUGACAUCACUAUGGCCUUUGUCAAUGAUUGGGUUUUAAACUCUGGUUCAAAACAUCCACUGCAGUGGGAUAAUGGCCUUAACAUCCAGUGAUGACUUCAUUUUAGACUCCGGUUCAAAACAUCCACUGCCAUGAGAUAAUGGCCAUAACAUCUGAUGGACCUCGUUUUCCCAGACACACGGAGAUGGAUUAGGUAGGGGUGACUCUGAAUCACUUGCACUGAGUCUACUUCGUACGAAGUCUCUGAGGUCAGUUGAAGGUUGUCUGGUGAUCAGCUAGAUAAUUCCAAAUACUUGACGCGAGGCUAGAUGCUUGAGGGUAAAUCAAGAGGCACAGCAGUUGUAAAUCGUCUCCCCAUAUGGCAAAACCUAUUCUGUCACAAUGAUAAAAAGGUGUUUAAUUAUGGCAGGUAAUGGAGCUUCAGGCAAUAGGAUGUGAGGCAGUGAGAGGUCAAGAUAGAGCAACAUACAUUUCUUGCCCAUGGAAUGAUGCCCAUCCAAUAUAUACAGACUGCAAUUUUUACCAACAUUGAAGAAAGUUAGCCUCUCAUUAAGGCACUAAGAUCACAUUUAGAAAUCUCAAAGAAUUCUGAGAAUGUGUCAAUGCCUUGCAUCAUUCCAUUUAGAAAUCUGAGUCCCAGAAAGGUGUUAAUGCCGAUGUUCCAAAAUUUUGAAACCGUGUUGCAAUCUAUUCUCCUGCCACAGUAACAAGAUUUCUUUACAAUGAACAGUCGUGAUAAUUUCACAUCUGCUAAUGCUAGCAUAAGCCACAUUGAGAAAACAAUUGAUCCUUGGAUUAUUACCAAUCUCUAAGGAAUUGAAAAAGGCCAGAUGGUCAAGCUCCAAAGUUUUUGACGACAUUCCCGGUUCACCAAUCAACGAUAGUAUCAUACGUGAAACAGAAGACACAAAGUCUGAAACAUUCAAAAUCAAAAGCAUCUGUUUUGAUUAUUUAGCAAGAAAAAUAACAUAAUGGAUCUUAUUUGUAUGUAUAUCAAGUUUAACAACACGCCAUUGCAUGACUCCUUAAUUGGCUUCCAAUAUUCAGAUAAUUCAAAGGCACCAUUAUGUUUAAUUCCGAUAUAAAAGACUGUCAAAGAAGGGGGAUAUAAAUUUGUACGAGAGUUAACAAACCUCUGGUUUUUUGUCAGCAAAAUCUCAUUAACUGGAUUCCUGAAAAACGUAGUAAAAAUAAGUAAACGCUCAUUAGAGUUAAAUUCCAAAUCCAAAGUCAAUAGAAGGUUGUUUAUUGUAGAACUAAACACAAUUACUAAACCUUAUAAUGCAAGAACACAAAAUUGUCCAGAAACACAUUUUCCAUCUUAUCAGAUUCAAUUUAUGGCCUUCCUGCAUAACUGCAUUUUAUAUUUGAAAGGUAAAUCAGACAUUUUUUAUGUGAGUAAUAAGAGAGUAAAUGGCAUAAAAGGCAAACCAUACAAAUGAAGAAGUUGUAAACAUAUAAGAGUGCUUACUGAUCACUGUUGAAUGAUAUUUAAUCGUCUCUCUUUCAAUCUGCAAGAGUUUAUACUCAGUGAAUCAUAGUAUGCUACCAAGAAUAAUGCCUCAUUUCCUCGUUGUUGGAAAAAAAUGUAGUGAAAAACAUGUAAGUUGCCAAUAGAAAUAUACUAGUUUAAAAAUAAAGCAUUUCAAGUUACAUAAGGUUUGUACAAGUUGUAACUGACCUGAAAAAAAUCUGUAUGUUUGAUAAAGCUCAUUUUAAUGAAUCCUAACAAUGGUUUAAAAGACAUCCAAAAGGAGGAAAGCUGGAUCAGCAUUGCGCAUCCACCUAAAAGGAGUAACAUGAAAUGCAUCAAUAUAAAAUGAGAUGAAAAGAAAAUAGUAGUGCUCAUAAAAAUCCUUUCUGCAAAAUAAUGCAUAAAGACGACCAAUUCAUCAAUGUAAAACAAAUACAAACUGUUCUUUAUAUAGGUCAUAGUUCCAUCAGAGAGCAAUUUCAAACAAUCACAACAACUGAGCACAAGACUUUAUAACAUGGAUGACAAACCAGUCCUCAGAAGGAACCUAAAGAAAUGUGUGAUUCUCGACUCUCCAAGAGAUGUAUGACUAUUCAGUCUUACUGGCAGCUUCUCCAAGAUAGCACAAAAAAUAGCUUCAUGUCUACUGAAGACAGGUGAACUAAGCAGUGUCCAAGGAUUGGUGCUUAGGGAACACCUCAAGUCAUAAACAUAGAAAAUUUAGAAAAAAAGUUAGCAAAUAUAGGAAUCUAAAAAAACCAAUAAAAAUGUAAAAUAAAAAUUGUAACUUACCAUGAUCUUGCUAAGCUGUUGUUUAUCCUCUUUCUACACUCUUAACAUCAACAAUAGAAACAAAAACAAGUAGCAAUAGGAAUUUGCCACAGUCACUAUAGACAUGGAGCCUCCAAAUAUAAAACCCGAAUCCCCUUCGACAAGAAGAAAAAUACUUAUACUCUGACACCUGGGACAUGCACCUUUUAAACCUGCAAACUCCAAAAGAAGAGAUAUGGUUUCAUCAAAUCAAAAAUUUGAGAAACUAAAGCAAAACCAUUUUGUUUCUGCUCAAAUUUGUACAACUAGGCAUAUGUAAAUGUGACAGUAGCUCACAUUUUGGAAACCAAGUGGGAUAUAUUAGAAUAGAUACAAGCUGCUGUUGUUGCUAUGUAAUAAUUCCAUUAGGUAGUUCUGGGCUAUCGCAGUCACAGAGAAAAUACCACUUGGGAUAAAUUGAAAACCAGUUCUUGUGAAAGACAAGUUUCAUGCACUGAAUGGUUCCCAACUUUCAAAGGAAAUAAAAGAUCAUACAACCUUAUGAGCGGCUUCCCCAGGAGGGCAAGAAGAGGUUCUUAUUUAUUAAAGAUGCAAAUGAAAUCUUGAUUCAGAGGACCUCUGUAAAGCACUGAAGAAUCUAUCACAAGUCAUAAAAGGAAGAAAAUUUUACAAAAAUAGUCCUUAGAACACAAUAAUAUAUAGAAUCAACUAUAUAAAUGAAAGUCACGCACCACAAUUUUGCUAGAUUGUAUUUUAUCCUCUUUUAGUCGUACUAAAAAAUGGUAAUAAAGUGCCAAUGAGCCUUUGAUAUAGGAUGAACAUUCCAAUCAGUUAGCACAAUGAAAAGACCACAUGACCUCCUGUGAUACUUUGCACCCAUCCUUUUGACACCUGCAUCAUCAAUGUAAACAAUUUGGUACAUAAAACUGUAAGACUUAUUAUUACCGUUCAGAGGUAGCCGAGUUAAAUGGCAACAAAUUGCAAAUAUAUGUAUGGGAAAUAGAAAGUGAUAUUGAGGAGAGAAAGAGGAAGAAUUGCAUGUUGGGAAUGAGCAUCCAGUGGACAAGAAGAAAAUUCAAGAAAAUUAGUCAUCAAAAUAGAAAAAUAAAUAAACAAAAUAUAUAGAUGACGGUGACUCACUGUAGUCUUGCUGGGUUAUUCUUUGUCCCCUGUUGACACUCAAAAAAAAUAAAAAAAAGAGCAACAGGGGACAACUGGAACUAGCUGCAUUCACUCCAUACUUUGAAGUCUUUGAUAUAAUACCUAGAGUUCCAUCCUCUUUGAGAACCUGCAUCAUAAAUGUAAAAAUUUAAUAACCAGAUGACAAGACACUGGAUAGUAGCUAUGAUGACAUCUAAUAAGUUGAACUAAAAAAAUCAUGGCUGCACAGGGGAAUUGAUAAAGCCAUCUAAUUACCAUAGCAAUCGAACUUUAAUAAACUGCAUUUGCUUCUAGUAUAGCCUCCUCUGUAUGUCAGCCUGAACUCUAUUCUGGAAAUCAGAAAAUUAUACUUAAAAAAUGCAAUUGAAUAGUACAACUGAUGGAAUAAAAAUCAGAAGACAUUGCUAACCAGUGGCUAUUGCUAAAUAUUCCACCUGCCCUUGAAUGGCAUAAAUGGAUCCUCUCUUAUCCUUUUUAUCGUUGUAAGUAUCACAUAUCACCUCUUCAACUUCAAUGGUCACUGAGAACUAAAAAGAACAAAGGAAAAAGGAAAAGUGUGUACCCCAUGGAGAUUAUGGACAAGAUUUACUAAAUAGAAUUGGAGAGGCAGAGGCAGUGAUGCAUACCUAGAAUUGUGUCAAAUUGAAGAGAAAACCAAGCUACAAGCCAUUUCAAAAGCCACUUCCUAGGCAAAUUUUUAACAAAAAGUCUAGUAAGAAACGUACAAGUAAUCAAUUGGGGAAAUUGCUAUAAUGUAUAUGAGAGAUUGAACGCGGUAUUGAGGAGUGAAAGAUAAAGAACAGGCGUACCUUGUUUAAUGUAAAGAUGGGAGAGGGUUGAAUGGUGUUUGCUUCUAUGUUCUGCAAUCCCUCAACUUAUUAUUGCUCAAAGACGUUUUUAUCAUCUAUUUCCACAUAGGGAAUGUGGGCGAUGUUGGGCCAAUCUUGCCCUUUCCCUUUCGAGCACCUUUGUUUUAGGAGCGGGCAGUCUGUGAUAUAUAGUCGUGAAAGCGUGUCAGGCAGCCCUUCCCUUGGGCAAAACGACUGAAGCUUAGGGCAACGUUGGAUCCAUAGAUCUUCAAGUGAGGUGAGGGUUUGGAGAGCCAGGGAGGAUAGAGAUUUCAGAUUCUGGAAAUCUUGAAUGGAAAGAAAGGUGAGGGUUGUAGGAAGAAUCGGUGGUCUUUGACCAUCUGAAAAGGAGGCAACUCGUGGAAAUAUGCCACCAAUGGUGAGUUCUUUAAGAGAGGUAAGUGUGGCAAGGCCCCAUCGGGAUAGGGGCAUCUUGAUAUUCUCACAACGGUAGAUACCAAGUGAUGUAAGAGCAGUGAGGUUUUGCAGUUGAUGAGGUAGCAGCUCCACAUUCUCACAAUUAUUAAUCUCCAGUUCUCUGAGUUUGUAGAGGCAAUCUGGUACAAUUUUGAGACAGGGAUACGACCGGAUACUCAAAUAUUCAAGUGAACUAUUAUUGGAGUGAAACGUCUCCUUUGAAAUCGACUCCAGUUGUGCACAAUCCCAAAUCUCAAGUUUCUUAAGGGUGGAGGGAAACUUGCCUGUGGGGAAGAAUGUGAGAGAUGGACAUUUCCAAAUGUCCAAGACAUGAAGACCACCACUGGUGGCGGUGGUGGUGUUGGAAUCAUGGUGCAUCAUUCCCCCCGGUAGAGACUCUAGCUUUUCACACCUCCAUAUCUUGAGUUCCUUGAGCGUGGUGGGUAACUCACCUUCUGGAAAACCAAUGAGAGAUGGACACGUAUGUAUGUGCAAGUAUUCAAGGAGACACACGUCGCUACCGUUAUUACUACCGUCUUUCAUCACCAUCAUCCAAUCAGGUAGACAUCGUAGACCUUCACAACUAUGAAUAACAAGACGUCUAAGCAUGGGCGGGAACCCCAACUCUGGAAAUGACACCAGCUUUGGACAAUCAUAGAUUUCCAACUCUCCAAGACAUGUUAGCCUGUACAGUCCAUUGGGAAGCUUCUCUAGGUUAUUACACCACCUAAUUUUCAAAGAUUGAAGCUUGCUAGGCAGCUCGUGCUUUUCCUUUUCUCCCAAGGAUACAAGCUCGGGACAACUGCUAGUUUGCAACUGCUGAAUACCAUCAAAUCCAUUUUCCCACAAACACGUCAAUUUAUCACAUCUAUCAAUGUCUAAAACUUGAAGCCCCGACAACAAUUGCAUACAACCUUCAUGUAAUCUGGUGAGCCCUACCAUUCUAUCAAUUCCUAACUCGGUGAGUGAAGGCAAUUCCAAUCCACUCCUUAGUACCGCCUCAUUGCAAUCUUGUACUCUUAAUUUAGAAAGAGAUGGAAGCCUUUCAAGUGGAGACACCAACUGUGGGCAUGUCCCAAUGGAGAAAUGUACAAGGGACGGUAGGUUAGUGGGUAGUUUCUUGAUUAAUUUGGGGCAAUUUAUGAUUUCAAGGUGAAGGAGACAAGGAUAUGGCUCUGAUAAAGAUGGACUCUCCCAAUCUUCCCAUUGUGACAUAGCCGAAAAAGAUAGAGACUCUAAGGACGGGAAAGGCUUAUUGGGAAGACAAGUCUCUCCAUAAAACUCUCUACCCACAAUUUUUACUUCUUUUAACCCUUCAAUCCUUACGUGUUUGAGCAUGGGUAACCACCCCAAACACGGUAAAGAUGUGCAAUUUCUGCAAUUCACCAGAUUUACAUCCACCAUCUUCGAGAAUGAAACAUCUCCUAUCCAAGGGGGAAAUUCUGGACCACCAUAAUACUCAAUUUUUAGUUUGUUCAAAUUGAAGUGUGGCUGUAAAGAGUCAAGUACAUCUUUUUGAUUCCUUGCAUUGUGUGAAUCAUUCAACCCAGCACUCCACUCUAUCGUCAAUUCUUCAAGCUUCUGCUUCUUGUUUAGACUAGCAUCCCUUGCAUCUUGAACAUUUGCUACAUUUUCCAACUUUGAAAUGCAAAGUCCCCCUUGAAGUUGGGGCAUAUUCCUUAACUCCUUUACAUUCAAACCAUUGUCUUUACCCACAAUAAAAUUAGACAAUACUUGUAAGCCUUUUAAUUUGCAAAUUCGUGGAGGCAUUUCUUCUAGAUUUGUAUUGGUCACAUCAAGGUGUCGAAGAUUAUUUAGGUUUCCAAUGCUCAAAGGCAACCUAAUAAGCUUCCGACAAUUUGAUAAUAUUAAUGUCUCUAAGUUAUGGAGGUUACCCAGUGAAUCAGGUAAUCGUUUGACUUUUGUUCUGGAUAAAUUAAGAUACCUAAGGUGUUUCAAAUCACCAACUGAACUUGGUAUCUCACUUAUCCGAUAACCACUCAAUAAAAGCACCCUUAGGCGUCGUAGCUUGGGCAUCAAUCCCUCAAGUACCUUGUUGCUUAACCAAUUAUAAUCCCAUAAUGGAUCAAUUGGUAAUGCAAUAAACGUACGCAAAUUCUCCAUCCCAUAAAAGGCUUCAAACUUUUUGAAGAUAUCGUAUCGGUCACGAAUGAAUGAUGAAUGACGAGCCUUUUUAGAAAUAGUCUGCUGCUGAUUACCUUCCAAAUUCUUUUCCAGAGAAAAACAUAUUUCUCCACCAACAAAUUUUGCUAAAUCGUUAACGAGAUCAUGCAUUACGAAUUGGGAUUUAUUGCUACUUGAUGGUUGAAAAAAUGAUCGAGACAACAAUUCCUGGAAGUAGUUAGCGCCUAAAUCUUCAAUUUCGAUUUGUUGCCUAUGACAUUCUAAGUGUUGAAUUAGACUCUCUGCCAUCCAUAAGCGAAUCAGUUCUCUCUUAUCAAAUUCAUAGUCUUUCGGAAAUAUUGCACAAUAACUGAAACAUCUCUUCAGUGGAGAGGGGAGGUGAUUAUAACUUAAUCUUAAUGCAGGAAGAAUACCGCAUUUAUCACUCGGUAAAUCCCAUAUUUUGCUAGUCAAAAUAACAUUCCACUCAUGUUCUCUCUGUUCAUGGCGUAGAAGACUACCGAGUGCUGUUGCUGCCAAAGGCAAGCCUCCACACUUUUUUACAAUUUCCUUGCCGAUCAAUGCCAAAUUGGAAUGCUCAUCAAUGUUGCUAUUUCCAAAUGCAUGUUUCUUGAACACCGACCAACACUCAUUAUCUGAUAAAUUUUGUAGCUCGUGCAAGUUCUUAUCUCCUUCCAUUAUAUUUGCGACCUUCUUACUCCGUGUCGUGACUAUGAUUUUGCUGCCUCGUGAACCCGACAAAAAGGGAGACUGUAAGCAACGCCAAUCAUUAUAGUUGUCAUUCCACAUAUCAUCGAGAACCAGAAGAAAUUUUUUUCCCUUCAAUUCCUCCCCCAAUUUAUCUUGAAUUUGAUGGAAGUCUAGUGAAUCAGUAUUGCUCUGAGAAGUACUGACCGAGUUGAGGAUUGUCUUGGUUAUUCUCACUGCAUCGAACUGAUCUGAUACACAAACCCAGGCCUUUAGAUCAAAAUGCUUGGCUGUCUCAGGAUGAUCGUACACCAACCUUGCUAGUGUGGUCUUGCCCAUACCACCCAUGGCCACGAUGGAAACUACAGAAACAUUGGUUUCAAUGGGCUCAUCCCUAAGCAGCAUAUCCAUUAUAAUCUGUUUAUCAGCAUCCCUGCCAUAAACCCAAGGUUCGUAUACCAGAGAUGUAGUGAGUGGCCUUUCCCAAGUAGACUGGGUUAUAGCAGCCACCUUGUCCAAACCAAGCCCAGCCUUUUGGGCAUAUAUAGCUUCUAAUCGGGUGGUAAUGUCCUUUAUCUCGCACCCCAUCUUAACAUUACGCAUACAACCAAUAGGAGUGAAAGUAGUACAACAAGUAGGGAUAAACUUGCGUACCUUGCUUGUGCUGCCUUCACCAUCAGCUUCCGCCAUCACCUUUCUUCUUAAAGCUUCGUAGGCAAACUCGUCCAAGAUGUCCUCCAUGUCAUAAACCAAAUC